rnacentral:lncRNA from 1 species
GCUGCUGGAAGUACCUGAAGCCUUCUUGGCACUUGAUUCAGCAGAUUCUCAAUUUCUUGUCACUUAUUUUCUUAUUUCUUGUAUCAGCGCCCUCCCAGGUACAACCGAAGACGACGAACUGUUUGAUGGUUUUUUUUGUCUUUCUCAGCUGUUGUUAUAUCUUAAUUAGAAAUUCACUUUUCAUUUAGUGUUAAUCUGAAUACGAGAGUGGAUUGAACUAGGAGUAAUCUGCUGCUUCUUAAUGUUCGAUAAUUGGAUCGAGAUUCACCCUCUCUAAUCAUUAUUAGCUUGGUAUAUUCUUGAACCUCAACAAGUCAUGAAGAAUCCCAUACUUCUUCCCGCCAGUUUAAUAUUGGCAAUUCACCCUUGUUGUUUACAUAUCGCUAAUCCGUUACCAAAUUACCAAAUUGUCUAAAUUUUCUUCCUCCAGUACAGUGUUUCCUUUUCAUUUCCAACUUUAUUAAAUCAUAUUAACUUUACUGAUUUGGAUGAGCUGAGGAUGAAAGAAGAGAUCAGUGCUGACACAUGGUGCUUCCCAUUCGAGCAAUUGGGGUGUGUAGAAAUGCUUUAUGACUUGCAUUCCAGCCGAUGAAGUUGUUAUGCUUGUAUUGUCACAUUAAUUAGGCCACAUUUUUGUCCUGUCAGAUAUCAGUGUAUUUUUAUUUGUAUUUGCAAUUAUUUUACUCUUUUCUCUCAAUUUCUAUUUGGUCUAUAUGGACCAUGGACAAUCAAUUUGGAUGCCUAUACCCCAGUCUAGAUUAUAUAUAUAUUUAUGUAUGUCUUGCUAGUAAUCUUAUCAUCCUGGAAGAUAACAGCACAAAAAUGUGAGUGUGCUUUACGUUUUCGUUGUCAACAGUCUUGGUUUGCUUAUAGUUUUCCAGCCAGCAUGUUUCUAUGCCAAAUAUGUCAUUUGACCACACAAGUAGGUGUGGCGACUUAACCAAGUAUCAGUCGACUAAGAUGUAGACUGUUAGUCAAAAGCCCAUCUAUAAUUCAACCAAAAAUUCUAUAGAAGUUAGUCAUCAAACAACCAACGUAGAAAACAUCCCUGAAGAUUCUAAUCCUCUGAAAUUCUUAUGAAAAACAUUUAAAUCAGAGGAGCCCUAUACUUGAGAAGACGUCAAAUGUGCAUGGUCCAUUUAAGAGCUAUCAUGGAAGAGGGAAAGGAGAAAACCAUGCCAAUCAUGCUUAUGAACGGAUGGAGCAAAAAUGUUUUAAGAGAACUGGAUAAGAUACCAUACCACUGGUCUGAGUCUAACUAAGUGGUUGUUUGGAUAAUGAUGGUAAUCGAUCUGUUUUUAGAAAACGAGAUUUAGGAUGUUUUUUUAGCAAAGUUUGUUUUACUUGUUUUUCUGUUAAGAAAGACCUACACAAAAUUAUGUUUGGGGUCUCCUUUGGGCUUUUGAAAGAUAUUUAGCCGAUAAAUCAGGCCGUUACGUUGGACUAGGCGCUCAACCUAGAUGCCCGCUUAUGAGGUUGUUACCUCCUUGAAAACAGGUGUUAUUAAAAACGCAUAUAUUUCCAGAAUGGCUGGUCCGUGCUGUGUGGGAGAUGAACCGAUAAGGAUGGGCCGUGCGGGGUGGCCGUUAAGACGGCCGUGCACCUACGGGUCAGCCUGGCACAGAAAAAUAGCUGGUCCGCGCAGAUUUUUCUGGUCCGGGGACGACGUUAACGACUGCCGUCGCAUUAAAUGCGCCAGCUUUAUCGCAUUUUCUGGAUGGAUACAGGCCCAAUACUUCGUUGAAUACACCGAACGGCGCGGAUCCUCAUGCGAGUGGACGGGAAAGAUAUCGAGAUCAUCUAGCACAGGCUCAGAAUUGAAUUUUCGAUUUUUGUCCCUUUAUGCUGGCUAGCCACACCGCUUCUACUUUAAGAAAAGCAUUGAAAGCUCAUAAUUCUGAAGCUCCGUCAUCCUAAUAGACUGGCCUUGCCAAGGACACACUAGGGCAAGAAGUUCAUCAUCUGUUUAAAAUCGUCAUUGCUCCCCACCUACCCAAGAAGAAACAAGAACAAAAUUUUUAUUGCCCGUUCAAAAUAUAUCGUAAGCUCUUGCCUACCAAGGGACCUAACUCAUAACCGGAGCGUUGGUAGUUAUCGACCAAACCGAGAACCAAUGACUUUAUUUCACUACCACAAGUCUUCCAUAAAGAGUGAGCCUUCACUAAUCUUAUUCCUCGUCUUACUUCUACUGGAAUUGUUUAUUCUCAAUCAUGCAUUAUUCGUUUGGUCCAUGCAUACUAGUUAGGAAUUCAGAUUUCAUAGAUGUAAGCAUAGGAGACACCAGGAACUGUCGGUGAAUAUCCAAGAUUAGAACAUGCACAAGCCUGUUGUUGAACUCUAACACGUAAACUAUUUUCCCCGUCUGACCAGCGCACAUUGUAUGUACCCUUGUACUCCAGUCUUCUUAUACACUAGUCUCUCGUGCUAUUUCGUGCAGCGAGCAAUCCAAUCUGGUGAUGCACCACGAGGACAUAUUGGGCGUCGAAGACUGGUUCGCCUGACAAGCGACCUCAAGAGAGAACGCUAGCAUGGUCAGUCGAUUUGGUUACACUGGGGAGAGGGACAAUGGGGACGGCUUCGAAAUAGCAUGACUCAGAUGGCAGCUCGAUGCGACAAGGACCGAAGAGCCUCUAGAUUUAGGUGCACGUCAUCCUGGCUCCCAGGCCGAAAAUACAACAGGGCAUUUACGACUUUUUUUCACGAUACAUAUCGAUGUCCCCUGUUUAUUGCUACAUUUUUUAAAUAAUAUACUGAUAUGUAAGGCACACAAAAAGAGAAUUUUCUGGCUUAUCAACAAGAAUGAAAGUAAGCCCCUUUAGAUACUUGUAUAUUAUUUUGUGCACACAACAUGUAAAAACAUAUAUUGAUGAAAAUCCGCAUGCAUAUACUAGACAUCUAUAUGUAGUUUUUUUUUUCAGAAUUGUUUGGGCUCUAGGAAUCAAAUUUUCUAUAUAUAUUUUUAAAAUAGAACGACUUUUGUUUGUAGUUUUUAGUACUCCCUCCUUCCCAAAAUGUAGGGUUCUUUGAUGCAUGACUUGACUAUUAAUACAUACCAAAAUACAUGGAUUGAGCAUAUAUAAAUGAUAUUCUCGUAUUUAUCUUGCAAAACAAUUUUAUUUCAUAUACCUUUAUAUUAAUUUUCUAGACAUACAAGACUUAAAAAUCAUUGUGUGAUGAAGACUAGAAAAAGUCAAGCACGCAUUAUAUUUUAAAAAGGACGGAUUAGUAAAUGCGCUCCUUACAUGUAGUGUCGUUGGGGCCUGUAUGAUGCAACGUCACAUGUUAGAGUAUCUACAUCUAGUCCCCUCAAAUCUUCCUCAAACGUUCGCGUACGUGCCGCACACUGGCCUAACAUGAGAGAAAAGACAAAAGGUGACACAACCACACACCUCAUAUCAUCUCUAUACUCUUCUCGAUAGGUUCCGAUAAAUAUAUGUACUAUGGAGAGCUGGGAAUGAGCUAUUUUUUCAAGAAGUAAGACCGAGCAAGUGUCAGUAGAAACGAUGUUUGUAUAGUUUCGAGAAAGUAAUGUUUGUAUGGUGAGGUUUUCAACGUGGGAAAACAAAGGCUCCAGCCAUCCUGACCCGCGAAAAAUAUACUCAAUCCGUCCAAAAAUAAGUGUCUGAAGUUUAAUACAAUUUUGUACUAACAUUGUAUUAAAGUGGGGACACUUGUUUUAGAACGGAGUGACUAAGUGCUGAUAUAUCCGAGUACAGCUGUUUUGCCCGGGGAGCACAAACAGAUGAACAGUAGCAGAGACUGGUAUUGUCCAAACAAAACAAAAAACGCAGAGACGAGUUAUUGUCUCAGGCGCCGUCCAUGCAUGCCUCUCAAUGCCAAAACAUCCGAGGCCAAAGUCCCCAAAGCACCGCAUGAAGCAUGCAGACGCGAGGCAGGCUCAGACCUCCUUUGUUCAUAGGAAUUUUGUAUAAAUCGUAAAGGAUAGGAACUUCGUAGAAAAAAUUUCUUUAAACUCUUUGGAUUGUAGGAAUGGUUUCUAUUUCUAUGUAGGAUAGGAUCCAGUCAUUCACAUUUCAAAAAAAAAAAAGCCUAGACUCAAUGGAAGGGAGCUAAUUCCUACGGGAGGAUGGGCAAGAAAGAACCUCCCGAUCCGGAAAAAACGGAUCGGAGAUCUCGCGCACAUCCCCAGCCACCACAGUCCGCCGGCGGCCGCUAGGAGGCUGGAUCUCGGGGAUGGCUGUGUCUGGGGCGGAGGGAGAUGGCUGGGGGCGGCAGGUGGUGCUCGCUUCGUUAUCGUGCGCCGAUAUGUCACUGUCGGCGUCUCGGUGUGCGAGAGAGCUGAAGAUGGUGGUGCCAGCGUUCGCAGAGACGACGACAUGCACAACAUCGUCGGCAACGGAUGCAUGGGUAGUCAUGGCGGCGGGGGCGGUGGCCUCCGUUGGUCAUUGCGGUGGGGGUGGCGGCCCUCGAUAACCGCGAUAAGGAGAUGAGGUGGCACAACAGUGCAUAUUCAAGUGCGUCGGCAUAUUUGCAGGCAUAGCGGCGGUGGUCGUGUGCGGCACUCGAUACCGGCUCAAAGAGGAUUUUCGUCCGGUGCAAGGGCGCCGGCCAUCGCACAAGGAUGCUCGAGGCGCGAGCGACAGAGUCCCACGCUGGUGAGCAAGAGGCGCAGUGGUGGUUCCCCGUCGACUUCUAGCUCCGAAGCAGCGGCUCCGAAGGUAUGGAGCAUGCUGCAGUGUGAUUGGCGCCGGUGUGGAGUAGCAGCGGCCAGUUCCGCACCGAGACAUGGGCGUCCACCCGACGGCCGUGACGAUGGUUUAAGGUGGGAAGGCGUCCCACCGAUCUGCUAGUGCCGUUUGGCACUGGCGUGAAGUACUGACGAAGGCAACUAUCAAUGAUCUGUCAUCAAGAUGCUGAUUGGAACACCGCUUCAUGUCCGGGGUGAAAACUAUUGUCCUGACCAUUAUUGGUCGGGCUCAGCAGCGACGAGUGUAUACCUUCUUGAAGGCGCUGCUACGGAAGAAGUCGACUUAGUCGUUGGUGUUAAUUUCAUAUCUUGUAAUGGUUCGGCCAUGAUUGCCUUCGUUUUGUACUUUGCUGAAUAAUUAAUAAAAAUGGCUGUAUGCAUUGCAUUGAUGCAAAGGCCAGGGGUUUUAACCUCCUUUUCCAAAAAAAAAGCCUAGACUCAAUGAAAAAUUUCCUAUGCUAUGCAACAAAUAACAUGUAUUUCUCUAUAAGAAUUGAGAUGUGUGUCAUCUUACUUUUUAUGAUUUUUCCUAUUUUUCUAAUACUAUUCCUUUACUAUGAACCAAAGAAGGCCUGGAAUUAAAAGGCACACAAAACAAGACGUCCACCCAUCCACUCGCCGUCUUCUCCAUGCAUUCCAGCGCCCUACCCUGACGCCACUGCGCGCGCCAUUCCCCUACCACUACCCUCUUCAAUCUACUUGUCCACAUGAGUCCGAAGCAGAAACAAGACGAGCUAUCUAAGACCAACUCCAGCACGCGACCCUAUCCUGUCCGGGUGCGUCCGUUUGGGGCAAAACGGACAAACCAGACGGCCCAGCGCGCGGGCGCAAAUGGACUUUUGUCUGUUUUCUGUUCGCUUUCGACCCAUCCCUGGCCCAAGUUCGCGUCGCUUUUGGGGUGAAAUGGACAGCGCGCGGACAGGCGGGACGCGCGCGUUUGUCCGCCAUUUCCCCCCAAACCCUCCCACGUCCCGCCCCCACCCUCCCCCGUCCAUGGCCGAAGCCGAAUUCCGGCGGCCUGGCCGUCGACCCGCCCGGAAAGGUGAAGAAGAAGGCGGCCAAGGGUGCAAGGAAGCCGUGGUCGGAAUGCAUGCCGGAGGAGCUCGCCAAGUUAGACGCGGAAUCGGCGAAGAGGAGGAACCGGAGGGCAGCCGUCAAGGGAAAGACCGCCGCGGCCAAGUUCACCGCCGAGCGCGAUGCGAUGGAGGCCGCGCGGCGCAAGGCCGAGGUCGAGGAGAAGGAGCCAUCGUCAACAAAGCACACGCCCUCCUCAUGCUUAGCAUUUGUCGUCCGGCGGGUUUCUCUGCAGCGUCCGUCGGCUCGGCGAGCAAAGGUCGUCGGUCGCCAGGCCUCCGCACUGCCAGUCGCCGACGUCGCGGACCACUCCUAUGUCGCCGGCUUUCCCCCGCCAAGGCAUGACGGCCAGACCCAUUUUUCGGGGUCGCCGGGCGUUGGCGUGAUCGCGCCGUCCACCCCGCGCCCCUCGGCCGUCAUCGACCUCAACGUCACGCCGGGGGUCCAGCAGCGGCGGCCGGCUGUCCGUCGAGAUGCAAAGAAAGCAAGCACGGCCACCGUUUACGGGCACCGUGCCAUCCCCCCGCGUCCUGUUCGACGGAAUGCCAACACCAACGCCAACGGUCGACGACCCCUUCUACAACCAGUUCAUGGAGGAUGUGAUCUACGAGGGUCGGCAUGGCGGUGCCUACGAUCCCGACGAGAACCAAAGUCAGGAUGGCCUCGCCCAGUACGUUGCCGAUGAAGAGGCCCACGACCAUGCUGACGACCAUGGUGACUCGUGGCAUGAAGACGAUGACAUCUGUUGCGAAGGUGAUGGUGAUGAAGAAGAAGGCAAUGACAUUGAUAUUGGGGGCGAACCAUUGUUCAUCGACGAGCUCACUCAAAGAGCGGAAGCACAAAAGAGGAGGAAGAACAUUCGCACGGGUUCAUAUUCACAAGACGAGGACAAGUUGAUUUGCCAAUGUUGGAUGGAGAUUAGCCAAGAUCCAAGGAUCGGCGCGCAACAAAAGGGCCUAGUUUUUUGGACGAGAGUCCACAAAACAUUCCAUGAAAGGAAGAUGUUUGAGCGCUACCAAAUUACGAGCGACCGUGGCAUCACCUCGAUUCAAUAGAGGUGGUUGUUCAUCCAACAAGAGUGCAACAAGUAUUGUGCCGCACUUGAGAGCGUUGAAGCACGGCCCGUGAGUGGUCUCGGCAUUGGGGACAUGGUAUGCUCUCCUCAUCCUAGUUCUUUCGUUGCUACGGCCAUGAGACUUCGGCCUUGUAUAUGUUUGCAUGUUCAAUUGUUGUUGAUCAUGUGGUGUAGGCAUUUCAAUCUUUGGAAGCAUUCAAGGCCCGGCACAAUGACAAGCCAUUCACUCUUACGCAUUGUUAGCGAUCAUCAACAAUUGCCCUAAGUUCAAGGAUCAAUACCGUGAACUUCAAAGGAAGAGAGGCAAGAAGACGUCCGCGUUGGCCGAAGGUGAAGAUGGCGAGGCGUUGAAGAGGCCGAGGGGCAAGACCAGCUCCAAGGUGGACGACAUACGUGAUGCCUCAUCCAUGGCCUUGCAUGAGACUUUGCAUGGCAUGAUGUCUCAAAAGGAUGUGAGGGACGAGAAGAAGCGACAAAGCAAGGAUGAGCAAAUAAAGCAAUACCUAGAGCUUCAAAGGAAGAAGCUUGAGAUGGAGGAGGCGGCCAAGAAGAGGAAGAUCGAUAUGGAGGAGGCGUCCCGGCAAAGGUAGCUCGACAUCGAGGCCGACAAUGUCACGGCCAGGCAGAGGCAGCUCGACAUCGAGGCCACCAAUGCCGCAACCAAAGCAAAGGAGGUGGUCCUUGCGAUCAUGAGCGUGGACUUGACCAAGAUGAGUGAGAAUAUGAGGAGCUGGUUCGAGGCCAGGCAGAAGGAGAUGUUCGACGCCAACGGCCUGAACUAGGUCGUCUGAUCGGCAGUGGCCAUUCUUUUUUGGAGGCUGGCAUGGGUGCCGGCCGGCCGUUGGGCUGUGUGCCGGCGAGAAACACAUUCAUUUUGGAGGCUGACUGUGUUGCCGGCGAUCAAAACUAUUCAUUUUGGAGGCUGGCUGUGUUGCCGGCGAGGACGUGUUGGUCGCUGGCUGUGUUGCCGGCGUGAACUAGGGCCGCUGGCCUAAACUAGGGCGAGGUAUUUCGAAAGUUGUUGUUUGAAAAUGAAGGCGGACAGGAUGUGGUCAAAGGAUGCGUCCGCGCGUUGGGUGCACGGCCACCGCAUCCCACGACAGGCCCGGAUACGACCUCAUUGCUCUACCAAAACGGACAGAAUAUGGACAAAGCGGACGUCCAUUUGGGGUCGUGCGUUGGAGUUGGCCUAACCGUGUCACCGCCGCUGUCCCACUCGUCGCCUUUUGUGCCUACGCCCACCUGUGCGACGGGCCGUGCCGUACUGCAUGACGUGACGCUGAGCUAAGCCGAUGGCGCCGUCACGACGGAAGUGCCCGCUGUUGGCGCCGCAUCCUCGCGUUGCAGCGCCGCUCUUCUUCUUCCUCUAUCUCACACAACUCAACUCUCUCUUCUCUGUUGCUUUGUUCUUCUUUCAAGAACACACGAACGCACACGGUGGGAAAAACUCAUAAACUCACACAUACACACACACCUCACCGUGGAGAGAGACUAGAUUUGCUUUCUACUCCCGGUGAGACACACAUACACUACAUUGUUUUGCCCAGCCUUCACGGCCUUAAUCUUUUUCAUUAACUCAAUGCAACACUUAUAUACACAAGGAGUUGGCCUCACGCACCCACUAACUAGCCGGAAAGUCCGGCCACUAACCCACACCCGGCUAACUACCCUAGAAUCUAUCCGGGCUACCUAACAACUUAUCCAUGCAGCCACUAACUAACACAUCCAUGCAUUUGACUAACUCAUCUAACUAAGCAGACCCAAUACUAGCUUGCGUGCACACACAUGAUCUCAACUUUACGUGAGUACACUGCCGCACCUAGUGGAUGAAUACGACUACAUGAUGCAUGACUCAACUCACGCGACGAAACAAACACGAUGAACACCUAUACAACAAGGUUAACUCUAACACCCGCGCCCGUGCGCAGCAGCAGUAACUUGGAGGCGGGCAAGCCAGGCGCAACAGUGCGUCACUCUGCGAGCUUUCUUUUCUUGCUCCUACACCGCCCGGCACCACGUGUGCUGCUGCCUGCUGCCACGCCAGGUCAUGGCUUUCACGUCAAAGUAGCGAGCCGGCCGUAGGGCCGACGCACAGACGCACGCAUGCACUCCUGGUCUCCCCCGGUCUCGCAUGCGCCCCGCACUGUAUUAUCUUCUAGUGUGUGUGUGUGUGAUUUGCACCGUGGUUGCCCUAUCGAAUAGUGUUGGUAGCUUCCAUGCUUUGGAAAUGGUGGCAGAGGAGGAAUAAACUGAACAAAAAGGAAAAUGUGAGCACAAUUGAAAGCACAUCCAUUCAGGCACCGAGGAGGUUUCGCUGGUUAGCUUGUUGGGAGGCGCCAAUCGCGGUAUAGUAUGUUAGGUGCUUGAGUUCUAGUGUGGGCUUGGCCCUCGAUGUAUCGGUUUUUGCUCAGUUUUCCGGCAAUUAACUGGGCAGCUAUCUUCUUCUUAAUUAAUGAAAAAGGCAAAGCUUUUGUCUCUGUUUAAAAAAAAGAUGUUCUUGAAGUAACUUGCAAAUGGUUUUAUCUAGCUGGGACAAUGUUGGGAGGAUUGUCGACUCGACUUAAAAGAGGCCACACCACACCUAGAAGAAAUUGGUUCUAUUUAGCUCGUUUUUCCCUUGCUGAGAGUGGAAUUUUCGUCCCAUUAUGUUGGCUAGCCGCAUCUACUUAAAAAACAUAAAAAGGUCAUUGUUUUGAAGCUCCCGCGUCCUAAUAGACCGCCUCGCUGAGGACUAACAAUUGCAAAAAAAAAAUGAUCAUAUGUUUAAAAUGCUCAAUGCUCCCGACCUACCCAAGAUGAAGUUAGCACACAAAUUUUAUCAUAUGUUCAAAAUAUAGCGUAAGCUCUUGCCUACCAAAGGACCAAACUCAUAACUAGAGCAUUAUUAGCUAUUGACCUAACCCAGAUCAAAUGCCUUCAUGUCACUACCUCGGGUCUUUCAUAAGUAGCAAGCCUUCACUAGCUUAUUCCUCAUCUUAUUCUUACAUCAUGCAUUAUUUGUUUCAUCCAUGCAUACUAUUGAUUUGAAUUCCAUAGAUGUAAGCAUAGGACACACCAGGAACUUUUGGCGGAUCCUAACUCCACCCCUAUCCAGUAUCGUGCCCAUGAAUCAGAGGUACAUGCUAUCAGUUCAAAAACUAAAAGUGACCUUUUGCGUGACCGUAUCAAGGAGAUGGAGUAUGUGAUUACACAGAAGACCAGGAUGGCGUUGGCCGCGAGCUUGAGUAUCAUUGCACACCUGUUCAAAACGGUUGACAUGUACGAGCUUCGCAUGUACAAGCUUCACAUGAAGGGUUUAUAGAUGACCAACAAACUCCUUCCUGACACGGUAGCCCGUAUUCCCCUGCAUGCACCUGCAAUGAACCUGGGUACCGAUAAAAAGGAGACCAAAUCAUUAGCAUGUUAAGUUUGGGAGAUUUUGAAGCCCUUUGUAUCUCUCAUUGCUUUAUUUAGUUUAUUUUCAGUUAAAGUUUUAGUUUGUUUUAAUUAAAAUAAAGUGGACGAUCAUGUUCAUUUGAUUGUGUGAAGAUUCUUAUUUCCAGUGAGUACUGGAUAGCCUUAAUGAAUGUUUUAUUGCGCUAUUCUUGAAACCAUAUUAGAUACUCGGUUAUAAUGUGUGCUAAUGUAUUUGCACUUGAUAAUCUCUACUCCUAAAGGGGGAGUCCGUACGUCGUUUCAUUAGGACUCGAUCCCCCCUCCUACCGAUUUUUAUUAUUGCUACCGAUUUUUUACAACGGAAUAAACCGGCAGGCAAUCAACCAAAAAGGUAAACCGGCAGCCAAUGAAGUACACCGGCAGCCAAUCAACCAACCAGUCAGGAUUGCCAAUCAACCAUAAUCAAUUAAGAUUACAUAUAUGUGGCAGCCAAUGAACCAAUGAACCAAUCAAUCAGGAUAUUGCCAAUGAACGAACGAAGUACACCGGCAGCCAAUCUACCAAUCAAUCAGGAUUACAUAUAUGAAGUAAGUCAAAACCUUCCAAAGCCUCAAGGUUCGCCAGAUCCGAUGUAUUCCAUAUAUAACACAAAUCAUAUCACGAUUGAGGAUCAAGAUGUAGUGUUUCUGUGUACAGCCGAAACCUUCCACAUUUAGCAAAAAAGCAUAGUAGGGCUGGGCGAGCCAGAUUUUGCCAUAGUAGCAAAAAAACACAAAUGAUCUUGCCAUCGUAGGUGAAGCCAUCCCAUCGAAGAGUUUGCCAUGGCCGGCCGACGACCCCCUCCAUGCCAAGAGUUUGCCAUGGGAGAUGAAGCCACAGGUCAGCACCAUUUGCCCUAUGCAUAUGAGUACAAGAUCAAUGGUACAAAAAAUCUGAGAUGCAAGUUCACCUCUGCCCUAUGUAUCAAUUGAUGCAAGUCCCUUGGUAUGAGCCUCCACAGACCAGCUGUAGAUGGCUAAAUCAAUACUUGCGUUGCAAGUCACAUCUCAUUUGGUUAGAACAAAUGCUUAGGACAUAUAUACAUAUGUCAACGCAUACAAAAUCAUUAUUGUGCAGCAAGAAAGAAUGAAGAUGCAUGUACAAUCAUUACUCUGCAGCCUACAAAUACAGUGAAAACCACUUUGACACCCUCCACAAGAGGAACUUUACAACUGAGCAUAGCAACGGAUGAUCCGGCAAACAAAAACCGAAGAAAUUGUCGACUAAUCACCUCUUGUCCAGCCGAUAAUAUAUAUUAGCACUUAGAAGGCUCAGUUUCUAAAUAGUACCCAUUUGUACUCAAUUAAACACAAUUUGGAAUGAUCUCACCUGCGUACACGUCAUCAACUAUGUGCUCUGUAAAGACACCUUAGGGUGUGUUUGGGAGCCAAAGUAUUUUUGUAGUUUUUAAAGAAUACGGUGGUUUCUGAAAAAACCUUGGUAUUCAAUACUUUGAGUUGUUUGGAUGAAAACAAUACUCAGUUUAACAAGUGGUAUCUCUAAACCUGUGGUCUUUUUGUAGUAUAUAAAAAAGAGGUCCCGACCUCUUUUUAAAAAACUGAGAAUCGUUGGCUGGGCACUCUCUUUGUGUCCAUGUCGUAACUAACUCGGUCUUUGAUUGAUUACAAUAGAUAACUCUACUACUACUACAGAUCCUACAUCUACUAUGAGAGAACAUGCCCGUGCAAGGCUGCAUGCAUACGGUGGCCAUUAGCACAAACUGAUCCGUGAGUGUAGCUCAGUAUGCAUGCAACAAUGUAACAAUAUGUGCAAACCAAAGAAAACAGAGAAAAUACUAUGGUCUUUGAAAAAUGGUGUUGCCAAACUAGGCCUUAAUUGCACGGUGUGGCCUUCAAUGAUAGGACCAAGGUUCCACAAAACAGAAAAACAGGCAAGAAGCAAUGUAAUGAAAAUAGAAGGCAAAAUAUACAAAUAUGCUAGCCACAAGUGAAUAGGGAAACUUUUUGUAAACAGAGAAUUGAAUUAAUGGGCAAAUUUAUCUGAAAUAACCAACACUUCAGUUUCAAAAGCAUGACUGCACAAAGUUAUCUAUUUGCUGCACAAACUUUUUGGACAAAUUACCGAUCUUUGGUUUUCUAUGUAUGAUGUAUACUUAACAUUUUUCUUUCUUUUUAGACCACCGACAUAGCAUGGAGGUCUCAUGUGAUAUAUCUAGUGUUGAUCAACAUUCACAAAUGACUCCAGAGCCAGGUAAUUGCACGUAAUUAUGCAUGGUUGAACACAAUGGGCAUGCAUACCCUUGGUCUAUCUUUUCAGAAACAUUUUUAUUUCUUUUCAGAGAGCCGACCUAGCAUGGAGGUCUCAUGUGAUAUAUCUAAUGUUGAUCAACAUUCACAAAUGACUCCCGAGCCAGGUAAUUGCACAUAAUUAUGUUGUGGUUGGGACAUGCAUACACUUGGUGUAACUUUUCAAUGACAAUUGUCUGUACAGUGAUUGCCUCAAACAACUUGACCCCGUUUGGUUCUCGCUGGGAAAGGGUGAAUCUUGAUAAGCAACUCCGAGAGCGCAAAAGACUUGAACAGAUGGAUGUGAAAAAUGGCCUCUGACGCCCUCUUGGUGAUAUCACCAGUGUUGAUCAACUCUCCAAACAGAGUCCAGGUAUAAUGAUAUAUAUCUAAAGGAUGAUGGUACGCAGGACUUGUUUUUACCAAUUUAAACUAUUCCUUUCGCAAGGCAUGGGAUCUGGCCCAAAAAGAUCAAGCAACUUGUUUAUACGUGAAGCAAUAAUCCCCUCUACUUCAAACAUUACACUCUCAGGUGAUGAUAAUAUUUUCACUGUAUUUGUCAUCAUUACGUAAUUUAAACGUCACAGCGGUAAAUUUAAUCAAUUACACAUUCCACUUGCUCGUAAUUUGCUUUGGUAAACAAUUAUUACUAUUAUACCCCUUAUCGUACAUGGUCUGGAUUAUUUUGGCAAAGAGCAAGAAUCUCCAUUAUUUUAUCUAACAUAUGAACAUAAGUAAAAAUAAUAACUAUUACUAUUGUAGCUCCAGACUUUGGUGUAUAUGAUGAUGGAUGCAAACAAAUCAAAAGUGGGAACAUUGAACAUAAUGGUUCUGGUAACGUGUGUAGCCCGAGAAUAACUGGUCCAGCUACGGUAGAUCAUGAUGGACUACGUAAAAGGACGUUAACACGAGAACAAAAGGAUAUUAGAAACGCACGGAGAAGAUCAGCUUAUAAGAAGAAGAAAGAAGAGGAUGGAUACCAGGAACAAAGGGAUCAGUUAAACACACAAAGAUGAGAAGCUUAUAAGAAGAAGAAACAAGAGGACACCAACUCUGGUGAUGACUUAGCCGAACAAAAAAAGAGAUAAAAAACGCACAGAGACGAGGAGCUUACCAGAAGAAGAAGGAACACAUAAACACACAAAGACGGGAAACAGAUCAGAACCAUCGAGAUAACUUAACACCCGAGCAGAAGGGGGAGAUAAGUGCUCGGCGCAGACAACAGGAUAAAGCAAUGCGGACCACACCCUGUGCUGAAUCCAUUGCAAUGCCUCAUCUUGAUUCACACUUACAGAACAGAUGGUAUUCUCCCAUCUCUACUCCACGUCUUAUGUCCGUAUGCACAAGACCAAAAUUUUACCAGCUCUGCAUCAUUCCAGCCGCCUAGCAUUGCAGUACCAUGGACAAUAAUACCAUGCUUAUAGAACCUGAGCAACAACCCAAUGGUCAACAAAGAGAUCGUGCUCCUACCGUCACGUUGGCGUCCACAUACAUUUGCACCCUCGAAACCGACGGUAAUUCUGCCAUCAAUGACCAUCUUCCAUUUUGUAAUCAUUGAAUAGUUAUUUGCCAAAUAAUAACUCAAAAAAUUGUGUAGCUACAUACCUAGGCAGAACCAUGGAUGAUAAUGCCGUCGAGGGUGACGUCAUUGAAAACAAUGACCAUUGGGUUGAUGCCAGGGAACAUCCCAAUGAUCCGCUAACAAAUGCACAUAAUGGUGCUGACGAGCAGAGGAAUGAGUCCAGAGCUCAACGUAGGGCUCGAGAGUGAGCUUGCAAGGAAAGUAUGGCACCGAAGAAGCCUCAAGAGAAAACCGGCAAGCGAAAAGUAGGUAAGUGAUAACCCACAAGUAUAGGGGAUCGCAACAGUUUUUGAGGGUAGAGUAUUCAACCCAAAUUUAUAGAUUCGACACAAGGGGAGCCAAAGAAUAUUUGUAAGUAUUAGCAGUUGAGUUGUCAAUUCAAUCACACCUGGAGAUUAAAUAUCUGCAGCAAAGUGAUCAGUAGCACAGUAGUAUGAUAAUUUUGAUAGCAGUGGUAGCUGUAACAGUAACAGUUUUGUAGCAGUUGUAACGAUAGCAGUAGCAAUAGUAACUUAGUGAUAACCCACAAGUAUAGGGGAUCGCAACAGUUUUCGAGGGUAGAGUAUUCAACCCAAAUUUAUAGAUUCGACACAAGGAGAGCUGAUACGUCUCCAAUGUAUCUAUAAUUUUUUAUUGUUCCAUGCUAUAUUAUAUUCAGUUUUGGAUGUUUAUUGGGCUUUAUUAUACACUUUUAUAUUAUUUUUGGGACUAACCUAUUAACCGGAGGCCCAGCCCAAAUUGCUGUUUUUUUGCCUAUUUCAGUGUUUCGAAGGAAAAGGAUAUCAAACGGAGUCCAAACGGAAUGAAACCUUCGGGAACGUGAUUUUUGGAACAAACGUGAUCCAGAGGACUUGGAGUCUACGUAAAGCAAUCAACGAGGAAGGCACGAGGCAGGGGGGCGCGCCUACCCCCUGGGCGCGCCCUCCACCCUCGUGGCCCCCUCGUUGCUCCACCGACGUACUUCUUCCUCCUAUAUAUACCCACGUACCCCCAAACGAUCAUAUACAGAUCCAAAACCCUAUUUCCACCGCCGGAACCUUCUGUACCCGUGAGCCCAUCUUGGGGCCUUUUCCGGCGCUCCGCCGGAGGGGGCAUUGAUCACGGAGGGCUUCUACAUCAACAUCUUGUGUGUGUAGUUUACCUCAGACCUUCGGGUCCAUAGUUAUUAGCUAGAUGGAUUCUUCUCUCUCUUUGGAUCUCAAUACAAAGUUCUCCUCGAUCUUCUUGGAGAUCUAUUCGAUGUAACCUUCUUUUGCGGUGUGUUUGUCGAGAUCCGAUGAAUUGUGGGUUUAUGAUCAAGUUUAUCUAUGAACAAUAUUUGAAUCUCCUAUGAAUUCUUUUAUGUAUGAUUGGUUAUCUUUGCAAGUCUCUUCGAAUUAUCAGUUUGGUUUGGCCUACUAGAUUGAUCUUUCUUGCAAUGGGAGAAGUGCUUAGCUUUGGGUUCAAUCUUGCGGUGUUCGAUCCCAGUGACAGCAAGGGAAACGACACGUAUUGUAUUGUUGCCAUCGAGGAUAAAAAGAUGGGGUUUAUAUCAUAUUGCAUGAGUUUAUCCCUCCACAUCAUGUCAUCUUGCUUAAAGCAUUACUCUGUUCUUAUGAACUUAAUACUCUAGAUGCAUGCUGGAUAGCGGUCGAUGUGUGGAGUAAUAGUAGUAGAUGCAGAAUCGUUUCGGUCUACUUGUCUCGGACGUGAUGCCUAUAUACAUGAUCAUACGUAGAUAUUCUCAUAACUAUCCUCAAUUCUAUCAAUUGCUCGACAAUAAUUUGUUUACCCACCGUAAUACUUAUGCUCUUGAGAGAAGCCACUAGUGAAACCUAUGGCCCCCGGGUCUAUUUUCCAUCAUAUUAAUCUCCCAACAACAAGCUAUUUCUAUUUCCGUUUAUUUUAUUUUGCAUCUUUAUUUAUCUUUAUCAUAAAAAUACCAAAAAAUAUUAUCUUAUCAUAUCUAUCAGAUCUCACUCUCGUAAGUGACCGUGAAGGGAUUGACAACCCCUUUACCGCGUUGGUUGCGAGGUUCUUAUUUGUUUGUGUAGGUGCGUGGGACUCGAGCGUGGUCUCCUACUGGAUUGAUACCUUGGUUCUCAAAAACUGAGGGAAAUACUUACUCUACUUUACUGCAUCACCCUUUCCUCUUCAAGGGAAAACCAACGCAGUGCUCAAGAGGUAGCAAGAGCCAAAGAAUAUUUGUAAGUAUUAGCAGCUGAGUUGUCAAUUCAAUCACACCUGGAGAUUAAAUAUCUGCAGCAAAGUGAUCAGUAACACAGUAAUAUGAUAGUUUUGAUAGCUGUGACAAUAGUAGUAGUAACGGUAACAGUGAUAGCAAUGAUUUGUAGCAAGUGUAAUAGUAGUAGCUUAGCAAGAACAAUAUGUGGAAAAUUCGUAGGCAUUGGAUCGGUGAAUUUGUUGGAUGAUAUUCACCAUAUAACAGUCAUAACCUAGGGCGAUACGGCACUAGCUCCAGUUCAUAAAUAUAGUGUAGGCAUGUAUUCCAUAGAUAGUCAUACAUGCUUAUGGAAAGAACUUGCAUGACAUCUUUUGUCCUACCCUCCCGUGGCAGCGGGGUCCAUAAGGAAACUAAGGGAUAUUAAGGUCUCCCUUUAAUAGGAACCAGAACAAAGCAAUAACACAUAGUGAAUACAUGAACUCCUCAAACUACGGUCAUCACCGGAAAGUAUCUUGAUUUCUUUCACCCCGGGGUUUACGGAUCAUAACACGUAAUAGGUGAAUAUGAUGGUGAAAACAUAAACGGUUCAGAUCUGAAAUCAUGGAACUAGGGCCCUAGUGACAAGCAUUAAGCAUGGCAAAGUCAUAACAACAUCAAUCUCAGAACAUAGGGGAUACUAGGGAUCAAGCCCUAACAAAACUAACUCGAUUACAUGAUGAAUCUCAUCCAACUCCUCACCGACCAGCGAGCCUAGGAGGGAAUUAAUCACUCCCCGUGGGGAGCAUCAUGGAAUUAGCGAUGAAGAAGGGUUGGUGAUGACGAAGACCGAAGAUUCCACUCUCCGGAGCCCUGAACGGACUCCAGAUCUGGCCUCCCGAUGAAGAACAGGAGGUGGCGGCGGCUCCGUCUCGUGAAACGUGAUAAUUCCUCCUCCCUGAUUUUUCUUUCCAAAUAUAGGUAUUUAUGGAGUCGGGAUCAGGGUCUGCGGGGCCACCAGGUAGGCACAACCCACCUGGGCGCGCCUGGAGGGUGUGGCGCACCCUGGUGGGUUGUGCUCACCCAGGGCCCCCCCUCCGGUUGUUCUUGGCUCUAGUAUUUUUCUUUUAUUCUGAAAUAAUUCUCCAAAAAGUUUUGUUCCAUUCUGAGAACUUUUAUUUCUGCACAAAACAACCCCAUGGUAGUUUUGCUGAAAACAACGUCAGUCCGGGGUAGUUUCAUUCAAAUUAUGCAAAUUAGAGUCCAAAACAAGAGCAAAAGCGUUAGGAAAAGUAGAUACGACGGAGACGUAUCAACUCCCCCAAGCUUAAACCCUUGCUUGUGCUCAAGCAAUUCAGUUGACAAACUGAAAGUGAAAAAGAAAAACUUCUACGAACUCUUUUGUUCUUGUUUACAUAAAUAAGAUUAAGUAGCCCCGAGCAGGUUUUCAGCAAAGAUUAUGACUAGACAUGUCAAAAAUAACUCUUAGAAAUUAUAUUAACUCAUAUCAAUGGCAUAAGAAACUAUCGAGCAAUAAUAAGAUAUCUCAAAUGACAACACUUUGUCAAAACAACCGUGAUAUAAUAUGGCAAUAGUGGUAUCUCGCUAGCCAUUUCUGAGACCGCAAAACAUAAAUGUAGAGCACCUCCAAAGUUCAAGUAGCGACUAAACGUUGUAAUUCAUGGUAGAAAAGAUUCAGUCAUGAUGCAUCCAACAUUAACUAUGCACAAUGCAUGAGGAUGACAAUAGUGCUCUCAGAUCUGGCGCCUAUUUGAGAAGGUGAUGACUCAACAUAAAUGUAAAUAGAUAGUCGCUUCGCAGAGGGAAGAUGGGAUUUGCAGCGGUGCCAGAGCUCAGGUUUCCAAAACAUAGAUAAAUGUAAUUUGGGAAAUGCACCCUUCCUGUUUACAUCACGACCGAAAGUUAUCAAUAUCUUCCAUGCUAAACACAUUAGUGGCGGUUCUCAAGCGAUAAAAGUAAAGGUUUACUCCCCCUCCACCAACAAACACACUCCACGGCUAGCCGAAUCCAUGGGUGUCGUCGAUAUCAACAUCAUUCCUGGGGGAGUUUUGUUUAAUUAUUUGCUUUUUUUAUUUCGGGACUGGGAAUCCCUAUUACUGCCCCUCUUGUGCAAGGACGAGUGAAUAAACACUCAUCAUGAGAAUAACCCGCUUAGCAUGGAAGAUACCGACUACCCCCUGUCGCUCUACAAACAAUCCAGGCACACAAAAACAGGAGUUUUAUUUGAUGUUUUUAGAGGUGGCACGUGCGGCAGGGUAAUACCGCAUAUAGGUAGAUAUGGUAGAUUCAUCUGGAAUAACUUGGGUUUUAGGAUUUUGAUGCACAAGCAGUAUUCCACUUAAUACAGGCGAAGGCUAGCAAAUAGGUUGAGAAGUGGCAAGCUAGAGAGUGAAAACGGUCAUGAACAUGCGUUAUGCAUAAUUAACAUUGAAUACUAGCAUGAGUAGGAUAUGGACAUCAUGAACAUAAAUAUUGUAGAGGCUCCGUUGGUUUUGAUUCAACUACAUGCAUGAACAUGUGGCAAAUCAAGCCACUUGAAACAUUCAGAGAAGGAUACCAUGUCAUCAUACAUCAUAAUCAUUUUAAUGCAUGUUGACAUCCAAGAUAAAUCAUUAUCCACUCCUAGCCAUUUAAGCACGGCAUGAGAAACUAUAAUCUCUAAUUAUCGUUGCAAACAUGUUUGAUCAUAAUAUGUUGAACCGUGGAUACUAGGUUAAACAUAUUUACAAAAACAUAACAAAUUGAGUUCAUACCCGUUUCUCUCUACCACAGUCAGUUCAUAAAAUAUCGUCAUUAUUGCCUUUCACUUGCACGACCAAAUGAUAUGAAAAUAAUAAUAGUGGAAGAGUGACGUGGACUAAGCUGGAAUCUGCAAACAUUUUAUUCAAAACGGAGAAUACAAGGUAAUAUGGGCUCUUUGUUGGAUCAAUAGAGAUGCAUGUGAGAGCCACUCAACAUUUUCAUCGUGGUCUUCUCCUUGAUAUGACUCAAUAAAAGGAAAAGAAAUUUGGAGAAACACACUGGAAUAUUUUUGGAGUUUUUAGUUUUUCGUGAAGAAAGCAAAUUAAAUAAAAAGGGAAUGCAAAAGCAAGAAAAGCAUACACGGGAAAACUCCCAACAAGCAAAAGAAGAAUAAGGAAAUCUUUUUGGGUUUUCUUUUUAAAACUUCAACUAACUAAACUAGAAAGAAAAACCGAAAAGAAGCAGGAAACAUUUUUUUGGAUUUUCUCAAAGUUUUUCAAACACACAAAAAGAAAGCGAGAAAAUAAAUCUAACAUGGAUAAUACAAUGAAAAAUUGUGAACACCGACAACUGAAAUAAAAUGUGUGAAUGAAUGUAAUGUCGGUGGAAAUACGUACUCUCCAAGCUUAGGCAUUUGGCCUAGCUUGGUAAGCCACUCGUAACAGCCAUCCGGUCCCAUCGCGAAGUGCCGUGGCGGCGGCACCUAAGCGUCCCACUCCUGAGGCUCCCCCUCUGCAGCUGCCUGGGCGUUCCGGUAGGCAAUGAUGUCAUCUGGCAUAAUCAUGCAUCCGCCCCUGACAAUAGAAUCAAACAAAGCAGGUGCAGGCAAUGGAAUAAUAUCACAAGAAUCCACACUGAAAACCAGAUUGUAAGGAAUAUUAUUAAUAGAGUUAUCAAUAUCAGUAAAUUGGUGAUCCAUCAUCGCCCGGUGAUCUAAAUAAACCUUGGGCAGAUGAUAAUCAUGUUGGCGAAUCUGAAUGUUAAAGUGACUCGCUAAACGAGUAGCAUAAAUAUCGCCAUGAAUUUUUUCCUUGGUUCUAUUAGGUUGUGUUUGGUUCACGUCAUGGGGUGGAAUGUAACGGGUCCAUUACGUUCCUAGGCCCGAUUCCUGUGUUCGGUAGCAACGAAGAAUUGGAACCUACCCAUUCCCUCGAACGGAAUAUUCGCGUGAGACGCGGAACGCGCUCGUACCUCCGAUUUGGAGGAGUCACGUGGAACGCCUCGCAUCUGUUGCCUCCCCCACUACUCCGUCGUCUCCAAACCCAAUCACAGCGCCGCCACUCCCUCUCCUUCUUCUCCCCUUCUCUGGCGACGCGUCUCCUCUUCUCUCACUCCCCGGCGACGCCUCUCUCUAUCGCCUACCAGAGCUCCGCUCGGCCCUCCGGCCUCCUUGCCCAUGCUCCGUGCCGGACCGCUGCGGGUCUCCGCUAGCUGAAGCUGGAAUACAAAAAGCGGCUGCACCUCGCAAGACCCUCGGUUGCAAAUCUCUGGCGCUGCCGGCGACUGGGCAAGUAGCUGCAAGCGGCGACGGCAAUGAUUGAUUUCAUUCGUAGCUAUCACAACAAGCUUGAUUUGGGAACCGUUUAUGGGUGGAUGCCUUGUAUUAUCCUAAUCACAGCAUCUUGGUACCUUUUCCUAAUCACGGCAAGCUCGAUUUUCAACAUGUAGAGAGAUGACUUGUAUUUUGACAGUUUUUGGACAUGUAGAUACUUGUAUUUUUACAGAUAUUUGACAUGUAGAUACUUGUAUUUUGACAGAUUUUUGACAUGUAUAUGACUGGAUAACUAGCAUUUAUUUGACAAUUUUUUUUAUUAAUGUGUCUUAUUUGUGUUUGAUGCCAAAGUCAAUAGUGCGAUCAACAAAUUCAUCCCAUUCCGUCUCAGAAACCAAAGACUGAAAUGUAACCAUUCCAUUCUUGUGAAUUGUCCCUACCAAACACAAGAACGGAACCGACCCAUUUCAGUGGAAUGGAGCCAUGACAUUCCAUUCCACUUCGUUCUCGAACCAAACACACCCUUAAGGUUCAGACGGUGUGCAAUAAUGGCCCCGAGGAUAAAGGUGUUAUUGCCGUAGAGUCCACGGCGUAAAAUGGCGAAAUAAGGAGCACUGAGUGGACCGACCUUCUCUCUAGAAAUUAAACACUUAGCAAUGAAUAGAGCAAAAUAAUGCAUAGAAGUAAACUCCAAGCUAGCGGCAGUAACACUUGAUACACCUCUGUCAUCUCCCACUGACAGACUACGAUAAAAGUCCUCAAACCCUGCAGGUUUGGGCUCUCUUAUUUCCCCAUCAAAAGGGAUCAACAUAUAUCACAAAAGUCAAUGAGUGGUAUCUGACGGGUUUCAGCAUAUAAAUUAAACUGCACUUCAGGAGGAUUAUUCCUACUCAGAAAAUGGAAAUUUUGCACAAAGGAAUUUGUAAUGAGGUGGUAUUGUUCACACUCAGCUGCGAUGAAGUUGGUUAGCCCGGCAUUUGCAGCGAAUUGAGUGAACUCUUGAUGGAUCCCGGCUCCAUCCAUGAAGGGGUUAUGCGGCCAUUCGCACGGCCGCAUCUCCGCCCUUCUCCGUGUAUGGAGAUCAUUGUCCGAUGAUUCCCCAAUAACUCCCUUAGCAUUUUUCUUGGAGGCAAACUUCCUAAAGAAACUCAUCUUAUUCCUAUAGAUAAAAUUCUGAAAAAAAUUAGUCCACAAAAUUUUAGUCAACAAAACUUAACAAGAUUGAUAGCAACUACUCAUAAGGGUCCAUAGAGGCUAUAAUAAGCAUUCAAACUACUUAGAACUCUAUGAAUUCGACAUGCAAGCUCAUCUACAGUAGCACCUAGAGUAGCUAAUUAUUCAAGAUAUGAUCCACUAAAGCAAAAACUAAUUGGAGCAAUGGGGCAAUCACAUACCGAGUAGCAAUCCCCCAAAACAGUUUCGGAGAUGGAGCUUCGAGCAAAGAGAUCGAAAUCCGCGGGUUUGAGAGCAAGAACACGAGAGAGAGAGAGAGAGAGAGAGAGAGAGAGAGAGAGAGAGAGAGCAAUGGUGAUUUUUUCUGGAGGUUGGAGAUGACAUGGGCUAAAGAGAUAAGUGAGAGGACCCACGUGGGGAUCACAACCCACCAGGGCGCGCCUGGGGCUGCUGGCGCACCCUGAUGUCUUGUGGUCACCAGGUGCACCCCCCUCUGAUGUUAUUUGUACCAGAAAUUCAGAAAUAUUCAGAAAAAAUCGUGUUAAAUUUUCAGGGCAUUUUGAGCACUUUUAUUUUUGGGUCAUUUUUUAUUGCACGGGAAAUUCAGAAAAAAAGGCUAAACAUGUCAUUUUAUUUUAUUUAACUAAGAAAAACAGAAACAAAAGUUGGGAGGAGAAGGUUGUGCCUACUAAAUUAAUCAAGUUCAUACCUCUCAAAAGUGAUCCAUUAAUAAGGUUGAUCAAGUCUUAUUAAAAACCACCUUCGAUAAGCAUAAAACCGAAGAACUUUCGUAAAACACUAAGUUACCUCAACGGGGAUAUGCAUGUCCCCAACAAUAAGUAUAUCAUAUUUCUUUUGGCAGAAGGUAGAGUUAGUUGAAAACUUCCAACAAUGGGUGUCGGAGAUUUUUCAAUAACAUUAAUACCAUUCACUUGGAAUUGUUUCUUCGGAAAGUGCACCGUAUGCUCAUUGCCAUUGAUAUGAAAAGUGACCUUGCUUUUAUUGCAAUCAAUAAUAGCCCCUACAGUAUUCAAAAAGUGUCUACCAAGGACAAUCGACAUGUUGUCAUCCUCGGGCAUCUCAAGUAUAACAAAGUCAGUUAAGAUAGUAACAUUUGCAACAACAACGGGCACAUCCUCACUAAUACCGGUAGGUAUGGCGGUUGAUUUUUCAGCCAUUUGCAAAGAUAUUUCAGUAGGUGUGAGUUUAUUCAAAUCAAGUCUUUUAUGUAAGGAGAAAAUCAUAACACUAACACCAGCUCCUAGAUCACAAAAAGCUAUUUUAACAUGAUUUCUUUUGAUGGAGCAAGGUAUAGUUGGGUCUCCAAUUUUUGAGGUACUCCAUCCUUAAAAGAAUAAUUAGCAAGCAUGAUGGAGAUUUCAGCUUCCGGUAUCAUUCUCUUAUUAGUGAUGAUGUCUUUCAUACAUUUUUGCAUAAGGGGCCAUCUUUGAAAUAUCAAUCAAGCGAGUGCGCAAAAAGACUGGCCUAAGCAUUUCAGCAAAGCGUUCAAAUUCUUCAUCAUCUUUUUUCUUAGUUGGUUUAGGUGGAAAGGGCAUGGGUCUUUGAACCCAUGGUUCUCUUUUUCUUCCAGGUUUUCUGGCAACAAAGUCUUUUUUAUCAUAUCUUUUAUUUUUAGGUUGUGGGUUAUCAAGAUCAACAGCUGGUUCUAUUUGAACAUCAUUAUCUAGUUGUUUAUCAUUGUCUGCUUGAGUGUCUUCAUGAACAUCAUCAUUAUCUUUUUCAUUAUCACUAGAUGGGUGUUCCUUACCAGAUUGAGUUUUAGCAUCUGAGAUAGAGACAUCAUUAUCAUCUUCAGGAGGUUUUUCUACUUCAGGUUCACUAGAGGUAUGCAAAGUCCUAUCAUUUUUCUUUUCCUUUUUAUUUUUAUUUUUAGAAGGACUAUGUGCAUCAGUAUUAAUUCUUUGAGAAUCUUGUUCAAUUCUUUUAGGGUGUCCCUUGGGACAAAGUGGUUCCUGAGUCGUUCUACCUCCUCUAGUCAUUACUCUAACAACAUGAUCAUUCAUAUUAUUAUUCAUUUCAUCAAACAACUCUCUUUGAGAUUUAGCAACUUGUUCUAGUUGGGUUUGAACCAUGGAGACAUGUUUUCCUACACCUCUAACAUCAUUAGUGACUCUAAAUAACAAGUCACUCAAGCGAGCAAUCAUAUCAGACUUGUAUUUCAAUUGUUUCAAAACAUUUUCACUAAAGUGAUCUUGUUUCCUAAUGUAGUUAUCGAACUCAUAAAGGCAUUGACUAGGAUGUUUAUUGAAAGGGAUAUCACCUUUAUCAAAUUUCAUUAAAUAGAUUACCUCUACCACCGGUGGUGGUGGUGUAUCAAGUCCAUGUAUUUCUUCAAUAGGAGGUAAAUUUUUAACAUCCUCUACUUUAAUACAUUUUCCCUUCAUACUUUUCUUUGCCUCCUGCAUAUCUUCAGGACUUAGAUAUAAGAUACCCCUCUUCAUCGGAGUGGGCUUAGGCGGUGAUUCAGGAAGAGUCCAAUCAUCAUAAUUUUUCAAUAUGUUACUCAAUAAUUUCUCAGCUUGUUCAACAGUUCGUUCCCUGAAAACACAACCAGCACAACUAUCUAUGAAGUCCCUAGAAGCAUUGGUUAGUCCAUUAUACAAGAUAUCAAGUAUUUCAUUUUUCUUAAGAGGAUGAUCAGGAAAAGGAUUAAGCUAUUGGAGAAGCCUCCUCAAAGCUUGUGGGAGACUCUCUUCUUCAAUUUGCACAAAAUUAAAUAUUUCCUGUAAGGCAGCUUGUUUAUUAUGAGCAGGAAAAUGUUUUUCAGACAUGUAAUAAAUCAUAUCUUGGGGACUACGCACACAACCAAGUGCAAGAGUAUUGUACCAUAUCUUAGCAUCACCCUUUAAUGAGAACAAAAAUAAUUUGAGAAUAUAAUAGUAGCGGAUUCUCUCAUCAUGAGUAAAUAGGGUGGCUAUAUCAUUUAAUUUAGUAAGGUGAGCCACAACAGUUUCAGUUUAACAGCCAUGGAAAGGAUCAGAUUCAACCAAAGUAAUCAACUCUGGGUCGACAGAGAAUUCAUAAUCCUUAUCAUCAACAAAGAUAGGUGAAGUAGCAAACUUUGGAUCACAUUUCAUUCUAGCAUUCAAAGAUUUUUCUUUCAGUUUGCAUAGUAAUUUCUUAUGAUCAUAUCUAUCAUUGCAAGCAAUAAAAUCUCUAGUUGUCUCCUCAUCUAUAACAUAAACUUUAGGUACCUUACGUAAUUCAUAUCUAGGAGAGCUAGGUCUAAUUGGUGUUUCAAGAUUUCCAAUUUCUAGUACUUCAUCAGUUUCAACAUUCUCAAUAUCUUUAGCUCUAGCAAUUUGUUCAUCAAGAAAUUCACCUAGUGGCAUAUUAUCAUCAAGCAAGGUACUAGCAUCAUCAAGCAUCACCCAUAGCGAAGUGGCAUCAUCAAUAACUUGCGACAUAUCAGGAUUAAUAGCAUGUGGUAGUAUUGCAAGUUUACUCAAAAUAGAAGGUGAAUCAAGUGCAGAGCUAGAUGGCAGUUCCUUACCUCCCCUCGUCUUAGAGGGAAAAAUCUUAGUCUUGGUAUCCUUCAGAUUCAUCAUAGUGAUAAAUAGAUAAUAAUCCCAAGUGACUCAACAAAUAUAGCUAUAUGCUCCCCUGCAACGGCGCCAGAAAAAGGUCUUGAUAACCCACAAGUAUAGGGGAUCGCAAUAGUUUUCGAGGGUAGAGUAUUCAACCCAAAUUCAUAGAUUCGACACAAGGGGAGCCAAAGAAUAUUUGUAAGUAUUAGCAGCUAGUUCUCAAUUCAACCACACCUGGAGAUUAAAUAUCUGCAACGUAAUGGUUACUAGCACAGUAAUGUGAUAGUUUUGAUAACAGCGACAAUAGUAGUAGUAACGGUAAAAGUGAUAACAAUGAUUUUGUAGCAAGUGUAAAAGUAACAACAACAGUAGUAACUUAGCAAGAACAAUAUGCGGAAAAUUCGUAGGCAUUGGAUCGAUGAAUUUGUAGGAUGAUAUUCAUCAUAUAACAGUCAUAACCUAGGGCGAUACGAACUAGCUCCAGUUCAUAAAUAUAAUGUAGGCAUGUAUUCCGUAAAUAGUCAUACGUGCUCAUGGAAAGAACUUGCAUGACAUCUUUUCUCCUACCUUGCCGUGGCAGCGGGGUCCAUAAGGAAACUAAGGGAUAUUAAGGCCUCCUUUUAAUAGAGAACCGGAACAAAGCAUUAACACAUAGUGAAUACAUGAACUCCUCAAACUACGGUCAUCACCGGAAAGUAUCCCGAUUUCUGUCACCCCGGGGUUUACAGAUCAUAACACGUAAUAGGCGAAUAUGACUUGCAAGAUCGGAUCUAGAAUAUAGAUAUAAUGGUGAAAACAUAAACAGUUCAGAUUUGAAAUCAUGGCACUCGGGCCCUAGUGACAAGCAUUAAGCAAGGCAAAGUCAUAACAACAUCAAUCUCAUAACGCAGUGGAUACUAGGGAUCAAGCCCUAAGAAAACUAACUCGAUUACAUGACGAAUCUCAUCCAACUCCUAACCUACCAGCGAGCCAACGAAGGAAUUACUCACUCCCGGUGGGGAGCAUCAUGGAAUUGGCUAUGAAGGAGGGUUGGUGAGGACGAAGACCGAAGAUUCCCCUCUGCGGAGCCCCGAACGGACUCCAGAUCUGCCCCCCCCCCCCGAUGAAGAACAGGAGGUGGCGGCGGCUCUGUCUCAGGAAACGCGAUAAUUCUUCCUCCCUGUUUUUUUCUCACCAAAUAUAGGUAUUGAUGGAGUCAAGAUCAGGGUCUGUGGGGCCACGAGGUGGGCACAACCCACCUGGGUGCGCCUGGAGGGGGUGGCGUGCCCUGGUGAGUUGUGCUCACCCAGCCCCCCCCCCCCUCCGGUGGUUCUUGGCUCCAGUAUUUUUCUUUUAUUCUGAAAUAAUUCUCCAAAAAGUUUUGUUCCAUUCCGAGAACUUUUAUUUCUGCAUAAAAACAACACCAUGAUAGUUCUGCUGAAAACAGCGUCAUUCCAAGUUAGUUUCAUUCAAAUCAUGCAAAUUAGAGUCCAAAACAAGAGGAAAAGCGUUAGGAAAAGUAGAUACGAAGGAGACGUAUCACUUAGCAAGAACAAUAUAUGGAAAACUCGUCGGCAUUGGAUUGGUGGAUUCUUUGGAUGUUAUUCAUUAUAUAACAGUCAUAACCUAGGGCGAUACAAAAGUAGCUCCAGUUCAUAAGUAUAAUGUAGGCAUGUAUUCCGUAAAUAGUCAUACGUGCUUAUGGAAAGAACUUGUACGACAUCUUUUGUCCUACCCUCCCGUGGCAGCGGGUCCAUAAGGAAACUAAGAGAUAUUAAGGCCUCCUUUUAAUAAAGGACUGGAACAAAGCAUUAACACAUGGUGAAUACAUGGACUCCUCAAACUACGGUCAUCACUGGAAAUUAUCCCAAUUACUGUGACACUAGGGUUUACGGAUCAUAACACGUAAUAGGUGAAUAUGACUUGCAAGAUUGGAUCUAGAACAUAGAUAUAAUGGUGAAAACAUAAACGGUUCAGAUAUGAAAUCAUGGCACUUGGGCCCUAGUGACAAGCAUUAAGCAUAGCAAAGUCAUAACAACAUCAAUCUUAGAACACAGUGGAUACUAUGGAUCAAGCGCUAACAAAACUAACUCGAUUACAUGAUGAAUCUCAUCCAACUCCUCACCGACCAGCGAGCCUACGAAGGAAUUACUCACUCCCGGUGGGGAGCAUCAUGGAAUUGGUGAUGAAGGAGGGUUGUGAUGACGAAGACGAAGAUUCCCCUCUCCGGAGACCCCAAACAGGCUCCAGAUCUGGCCUCCCGAUGAAGAACAGGAGGUGACGGAGGCUUCGUAUCGUGAAACUCGAUGAAACUUUCUCCCUGAUUUUUUUCUCCGAAAAUAGGUAUUUAUGGAGUUGGAAUUAGGGUAUGCGGGGUCACGAGGUGGGCACAACUCACUGGGGGGCGCCAGAGUGGGGCGCCUUGGUGUCUUGUGCCCAGCCAGGGGGCCCCCUUCGGUAGUUCUUGGUGCCAGUAAUUUUAUAUAUUCUAAAAUAAUUCUCCAAAAAGUUUCGUUCCAAUCCGAGAACUUUUAUUUGUGCACAAAAACAACACCAACAUAGUUCUGCUGAAAACAGUGUCAGUCCGGGUUAGUUUCAUUCAAAUCAUGCAAAUUAGAGUCCAAAUAAGAGAAAAAGCGUUAGGAAAAGUAGAUACGACGGAGACAUAUCAACUCCCCCAAGCAUAAACCUUUGCUUGUCCUCAAACAAUUCAGUUGCCAAACUGAUGGUGAAAAAGAAAAACUUUUACGAACUCUUUUGCUCUUGUUUACAUAAAUAAGCUUAAGUAGCACCCAGGUUUUCAGCAAAGAUUAUGACUAACCAUGUCAACAAUAACACUUCAAAAUUAUAUUAACUCAUAUCAAUAGCAUAAUCAACUAGAGAGCAAUAAUAAGAUAUAUAUCAAAUGCCAACACUUUGUCAAAACAAUCAUGAUAUAAUAUGACAACAGCGGUAUCUCGCUAGCCCUUUAUAAGACCGCAAAAUAUAAAUGCAGAGCACCUCCAAAGUUCAAGCAGCGACUAAACAUUGUAAUUCAUGAUAGAAAAGAUCCAGUCAUGAUGCAUCCAACAUUAACUAUACACAAUGCAUGAGGAUGACAAUAGUGCGUCGAUCCACGUCAACUACUUUCCCCGUCUCACCAGUCCACAUUGUAUGUACCCUUGUGCGCCGAUCAUCCUGUACCUUACGCACUCAUGCUAUCUCGUGGAAUGGGCGGUCAAAACUGGUAAUGCACCAUGAGAUAUAUUGAGGGUCUAUGACUGGUUCAUGUCACAAGCGGUCUCAAGAGAGAAGGCUGGCAUGGUCGGUCAAUUAUGGUUACAUGGGGUGGCCANNNNNNNNNNNNNNNNNNNNNNNNNNNNNNNNNNNNNNNNNNNNNNNNNNNNNNNNNNNNNNNNNNNNNNNNNNNNNNNNNNNNNNNNNNNNNNNNNNNNNNNNNNNNNNNNNNNNNNNNNNNNNNNNNNNNNNNNNNNNNNNNNNNNNNNNNNNNNNNNNNNNNNNNNNNNNNNNNNNNNNNNNNNNNNNNNNNNNNNNNNNNNNACGACUCACAUGGCAGCUCAAUAUGGAAGGACCAAAGAGCCUCUAGAUUUUGGAACACAUGAUUCUCGCAUCGAUGUUUCGUAUUUAUGGCAUGUUUUUAUUAAAUAAUAUACUUAUUUGUAGGCCACACACAAAAAAAUCGAUCACAUCAACAACAACGAAAGUAAGCCCCUUUUGAUACAUGUUUUUUUGCGCAUCAGAUGUAAAACAUAUAUUGAUGAAAAUUGGUAUGCACAUACUAGGUAGUUUUUCUUUCAGAAUUGUUUGCACUCUAGGAACCAUAUUUUCAAAAGAAAAAAAAUCAAUCAAACUACCAUAACCUGAAUCGUAAUUGCUUCCUUGACUAUAAAAAGGUUUAUAGAUGGCGCCUUGGCCGUUGCGUGCAAAAGAUAAAAAAAAUUCCUAUUUGACGCCCGUUAUGGUUGUAAUGGUACAAGGCGCACCCCCUCCCCCUCGAAAGAUGAUAUAUGGGCCGGCCCAUAAAAGGCGUUACGCCUCUUCCUCCCACACUGUCGCCGCUACUUUUCCCCUCUCCAAUGGCAUACCCCACCACCGGCCCUCUUUUCUCCCAUCGCCACUAAAUAAAUAUGGACGGACGUCACUACUGCACGACGCUCCUAUUUCAUGACCAUGAUGGGCUGCCAUGUUGAUGUCAUGUUUGCAUCAUGAUCGUGCGACUGCAUGGCCGCGAGCCAUGAUCAUACUACGCAGGCCAUGUGGCGCUCAAAGGCAGCAGAGAGAACGUUCUUUCUCUACAUGUUCCGAUAAUAAAUAUAUGUACCCUGAAGAACUGGGAAUGAAUCAAUAUUUCAAGAACCAAGACGGAGUAAUAAUACGUUGUCGGUAGAAAAUGGUGUUUGUAUGGUUUCCCAAAAAUAAUGGUUAUAUUUACCUAUUUGGUGAGUUUUCGACGGGGGAAACGGAGGCCCCAGCCACCCCAAAGUCAAUAUUGCUAGAUGCUGAUAUAUCCGUACAGCUGUUUUCAGUAGCAAAGAUGGGCAUUGUCUCAGGUGCCGUGCAUGCAUGUACUCCUAGCUCUUUGCCAAAAGAUCCGAGGCCAAAGUCCCCAAAGCACCACAUGAAAGCGUGCAGACGCGAGGCAGGCUCAAAAGGCACACGAAACAAGACGUCCAUUCAUCCUCCCGCCGUCUCUCCAUGCAAUCCAGCGUCCUGCCCCGACGCCAGUGCGCGCGCCGUUCCCCUACCCCGACCUACCCAUCAAUCUACCCGUCCACGUGCCACCGAAGCAGAGGUGGUGCAAACCUGGCUUGCUGGCCCCGGCGCCUUCCCGCGCCCGUGCACGCGCGAACCAUGUCGCCGCCGCUGUGCCGCUCGUCACCAUUUGGGCCUACGCCGGCCUGUGCGAUGGCGCCGUCACGACGGACGCGCCCUCGCCCGUGCGCAGCAGCAGUAACUUGGAGGCGGGCAAGCCAGGCGCAACAGUGCGUCACUCUGCGAGCUUUCUUUUCUUGCUCCUACACCGCCCGGCACCACGUGUGCUGCUGCCUGCUGCCACGCCAGGUCAUGGCUUUCACGUCAAAGUAGCGAGCCGGCCGUAGGGCCGACGCACAGACGCACGCAUGCACUCCUGGUCUCCCCGGUCUCGCAUGCCUCUCGCACUCUAGGCGUGUUUGGUUGCCCGCAUUAGGCCUAGCCUGGCCCGCGCAGGAAAAAAAGUGGCCUGUUUGGUUGCCUGUGUUCACUGUGCGGCCCGCAUCGCACAGACCUUAAAGCACGUCCAGGCCAGGCCCAGAGGGAAUGCCCGAAUCGGCAGUAGCUCGCGAGCCUGGCUCGGGCGAGCCAGGGGAGGGCGACGCGCUUCUCCCCUCAUGCGAGCAGGGGAGACGGCGCGAGCUUGCCCGCGUCGCCGAAAAAUCGGCGGGAGGAUUUCGGCUCACCUCCAGCUGAGUCCACCCCUAUUUUGCCCCUCCCGCACCGCCCCAACUCCCGCCACCAUUCUCCCUCCGUUCGAGCUUUCCCGCCGACGCGCAUCGGCACCGACGAGCAGGUAAGCGGCACAUCUUCAUCGGCCGGCGGUCCACGGCAUCGGCGCUCCUUCACCGGCCGGCGUUGAUCUUCCACGACCGUCCCCCGUCGUCCUCAAGCUGCAGCCAUGGCCUCUGUGAGUUCAAUCCCCCUUUCUCUCUGUUCCUUCUAGCUAGAUCUGAGCUGCAGCUAGGGUUUGAUCUAGAUGCAUGGUUGAUUAGUGGUCUGAUCUGUGAGCUGAUAUGGUUGAUUGCUAUGCUGCGGUCGGAAUUUUUGGUUGGGCUAGAUGUUCAAGCAUGUGGUAGGCUAGAUUAGUACUAGAGUUUGAAGUUAAACCUUGUGCUUGUGUUGAAUCAUGCUUAGAUCUGUGAUUUGUAGGUAUUGGUGGUCCAUUUGUAGCAUGUUGUUUGUUGUACAUGUAAGUUCCUGCUCAUAGAUUAUCCGGUAUGCUGGGUAUGGUAGCGAUGAAGCAUGUGCUUACUGAUAGUGAUGAACCAUGUACAUGUAUGCUUCUGCUUUCAUGGAUUGUCCGGUAUGUUGCAUGCUAUGCUUACUGUCAAUGCGUGCUACGAUUGCAGGACAUGACCACGCAGACGCAAGAUCUUAGUCAGGCCCUUGUCGUGUCCGACAGCCAGUUUGCUCCAUCGUUUGUCGCGGACUCGCAGCCUAUGUCCGAGAUGGCACCUGAUUCAGAGGUGUUCGCGUCUGAUUCCCUCUAUGUGCAAGUAGUGCUCGUUGAGCCAACUACUGCUGCUGCUGCUGCCGCUGCACUCAAGCUAGCAGCAGCAAAGGCAAAGAAGGAUGGUAGGUCGAACAACAUGAAGUGUCAGCCGUUCAUGUCCACGUUCGUGCUGAACAAGAUGUGUGAGCUCAUCUCUAGUGGAGUUAGGACUGACAAGGGCUUCAAGGAGGUGCACUUGAACACCGUUACGAAGCAGGUGUUCGAGUUCUGUGGGCAAGAAGUGUCUGCCACCCAGGUGUACAACCACCUGAGGAAGUGGAGAAGUCGAUGGAUCCAAGUGUCCAAGCUGAGAGACCUUAGCGGCGCCUCAUGGGAUGAGAACACUUGCUCCAUAGUUCUGGAGGCAGAGCACUAAGCCGGCCAUGUCACGGUUAGCUCACAAUCCAGAACUACAGCCAGAUGCAGCACAUCUUCUCCUUCGGGCUGACAACUGGGAAGCAUGCCAUGGGCUCGGGGGAGCCUCUUGGUUCCCCCUUGCCAGACUUCCCUGGGACCCCGGACGUCGAGGUCCUUGAUGGCCCUAACAAGCCCGCUGCGAAGCCCUUCGACAAGCCAUUUGACCCCGUCAAUGAUAGGAAGAGGAAGAGAGGAGGCCUGAUGGAGGAGGAGAUCAAUGUCUUUUGCAGCAUGACUGAGGCGGUGAAGGAGGUGGCAACAGCCAUCAGGGAGUGCAAGCCCCUCGACGUCCACCCUGACCUGUAUGGCGCUGUCAUGACCCAGGGUGGCUUCAGUGACGAGGCUUUGAUGGCAGCUCUCAGCCACCUGCUUGAUAACAAGGCCCGGAGUGUUGGGUUCGUUGCCAUGGCCGACGCUCAUAGGAUGUUGUGGCUCAGGAGCUGGCUGGGCAAGCACUACUACUAGAGUAGUGCUGCUUGUGAGCGUGCAUGAUCCCCGACGGCGAUGGCGGUGGCGACGACAACGACGAUGACGAUGACGACGUACAUUUUGUGUAGUUAGGGCUCAAAAACUAUUUCAUGGUCUGCAUAUUUUGGUGAGGUGGUAUAUACCAACCCCUCACGCUGAUGGUGAACUUACGGUGGUAGGACGACACCCUCUUUUGGAUGUGGUGGUAGGUUAACACCAAGGUAGUGCUAGGAAGAACUUGCUAUGACGUAUGAUCAUGCGUGCUUUACUUCUCUUCUGCUCCAUUGUUGUUUGUGUGCUACUUUGCUCUAUUUGUCUGCUUCAUUGAUUUGCUGCUUCAACUCUUGCUCUUGUGCAUUGCUAGGGCAAGUGGUAUGCGUGUUCAUUGGUAAGGUCCCAGGGGUUUAUAGUUCAUGGGAAGAAGCCAGUGAACAACUGGCAUCGUAUAGCAACAGCAGCCAUAGAGGGUUCAAGACUAGGCAGGCAGCAGAAAAAGCUUACUCCGAGUGGGUGCAAAAGCAUGGCAGCAGUGCUGACAGUCGCAAGGUUGGAUGUGUCAAGGUGGAUCGUCAGUUUGGGCUGAAGCUGAAGAACUUCAUCAUCUUCGCCCAGUUCAUCGCCAUUGCUGUGCUGUGGCGUUGGUGUGCUAGGUGUGGGUAAGCCCACCAACUAGGGUAGAAGGUAAGCACAAUAUGUACGCCGUAUGCAAUCAAACGUCGUGUUCAUGUGCCGCUCGGGCCAAUUCAGGCAACCAAACAAAGUGCACUUGCGUAUUACCUAAUGCAGGAAGCCUAGAUGCAUGCAACCAAACAACUUGCAGAUGACGCAUUUAGGGUUGUUUUUGCGAAUGAAUAGCAUAAAACUACCAUUUUUCGUCCUAUUGUUCCAAAAAACUACCACAUUUUUGUUUGUGACUGAUAACUACCGAAACCGGCGUCGGCUGUUUCAAAAAACCCAAAACGCCCGUGGCUAAGAAAUUAAACCGGUUUAUGACAAGUCGGGCCCGCACCUAAACGAACCGUUUGUUUGACCGUUCCUUUGACCGUUAACUGACAUGUGGGGCCCACAUGUCAGUUAUCUCUUCCUCCUCCUCCUUCUUCUCUCCCUUAUCUCUCUCUCUCUGCCAGCCGGCAAGCCUUCCGGCGGCCGUAGCAGAGGCCGGCCUCGCCCACGACGGCAGGAGGCGCGCGCUCCAGCAGCGACGCAGGCCGUCCGCGGCGAGCUCGAGGGAGGCAGAAGCGAGGUCGAGGUGCUCCUGCACGAGCUGCUCGCGAGGCCACCGUGCUCCGCGUCCAUGGCGUCGGUGGCGGCGCUGAUGCGGGCAGGGGAGAGACCGUGGAGUGUGGUGCCGCACUCGUGGGGUUGCUCCGGUGCUCCAGCCACGCGCCCUCCUUUCCCAUCUCGAAUCCCCUCCGUAGUUGUGGUCAACGCUCGGGUCCGAGCUCCCGAGGCCGGCCGCCAUGACUAGGCUCAAGCUCGAGCUCGAGCUCCUGCCUCGCGAGCUUCCUGGCCUGCACUUCCCACGCCCGCAAGCCUGCCUUCUGCGCCCAGCCGCAACGGCCAUCGCCGGUGAGCGGUGCUGCCCCCUGGCGCCCGUGCGGAAGGAAGCUCCACGGUGGCGCCAUGGCUGCUGGUCGCGACGGAAGGGAGCACCACGCGCCGCCCCGCGACGGAAGGGAGGUCCACGGCGGCGCCAUGGCUGCUGGCCGGCGACCCUCACGGCGGCUGCUGGCGCACGGCCACGGGAGGGACCCGAUUGCUUUUUUCAAAAGUUUACAGAGACCCGAUUGCGUUUUUGAAAAGUUUGCAGGGGCCUGAUGGCAUUUUUGAAAAGUUUGCGGACACUGACAUGUGGGCCCCACAUGUCAGUUAACGGUCAAAGGAACGGUCAAACAAAUGGUUCGUUUAGGUGUGGGCCCGACUUGUCAUAAACCGGUUUAAUUUCUUAGCCACGGGCGUUUUGGGUUUUUUGAAACAGCCGACGCCGGUUUCGGUAGUUAUCAGUCACAAACAAAAAUGUGGUAGUUUUUUGAAACCAUAGGACGAAAAGUGGUAGUUUUAUGCUAUUUACUCUGUUUUUGCUCAACCAGGCUGGGUUGAGAAGUGUAUGCAAUGCAACUACUGUUCAAAACUUGAACCAAACACGCCCCUAGUGUGCGUGCGAUGUGCACCGUGGCUGCCCAUUCGAAUCGUGAUUGAUUGUUCCGUGACUUCCGUCGACCUCACGCUCUCUUGUUGGCGAAAAGGGGAAAAAGCUCCCUCGGGACCCUCUGCGUGGAAAUGGAAUUGUUUUGGAUAUGAACAGUCGUUUAAGUUUGAACAAUGCACACAUGAAGAGAAAAUUCCAGUAUAACUGAACCGCAGUCUGCAAAAAUGAAUAUAUAGUUCGAAUGUGCCAUUUGAUAUAUAGUAUAAUAGUUUUCUCACGUACAAGAAGACAAUCUUGAAGUAAUUUGCAAACCGUUUUAUCUUGCUGGGGCGUGUUUGGAGGAUUGUCGACUCGCUUAGAAGAGGGCACAACUAGAAGAAAUCGGUUCUAUUUAGCUCUGCUUUUCCUCCCUAAGAGUGGAAUUUUCGUCCCUUUAUGCUAGCUAGCCACAUCUACUUAGCAAAAUAAAACGUUGGAAGCUCAUUGUUUUGAAGCUCCCGCAUCCUAAUAGUCUGGCCUUGCUAAGGACAAACAAGCGCAAAAAAAAAAAGAUCACCAUAUGUUUAAAAUCCUCAUCGCUCACGACCUACUCAAAAAGAAAUGAGCACACAAAUUUUAUCGUAUGUUCAAUAGAUAGCGUAAGCUCUUACCUACCAAAGGACCAAACUCAGAACUAGAGCAUUAUUAGCUAUUGACCUAACCCAAAACAAAUGGCUUCAUGUGACUACCUCAAGUCUUUCAUAAGGAGCAAGCCUUCACUAGCUUUUUCCUCAUCUUACUUCUAUGUGUUGGAAUUGUUUAUUCUUACAUCAUGCAUUAUUUGUUUCAUCCAUGCAUACUAGGGAUUCAAAUUUCAUAGAUGUAAGCAUAGGAGACACCAGGAACUAGCAGUGGAUAACCAAGAUUAAAACAUGCACAAGCUCUCUCAGAUUUACUCUACCAUGUCAACUACCCUUGUAGUCCAGUUGUCCUAUACCCUACACUCUUGUGUUGUCAUCUGGAACGAACCAUAGAAUCUGGUGAUGCGCCACGAGGACGGAUUGGUCGUCGGAGGUUGGUUCACGUCACCAUGUUUGUUCUGGUUCCCAUGGCAGCUCGUUCGAUCAAUUAUGUCUACACGGGGGGAGGGGCCAAUGGGGGAGGGGGGCAGCUUUGAAAUGGUACACAGAGCUCGUGGUCGAUGCAUUUGGUUAGCAUGGCUCACAUGGCAGCUCAAUAUUGUAAGGACCGAAGACCUCCAGAUUUAAGAGCACGGUUUUUUUUGCGGUUGAGAUUUAAGACCACAUCAUUCUGGUUCCCACGUUAAAAAUAUGGAAAAGGCAUUUACGAUUUUUGAUUUAUUUCCUCUGGAUAAAUAUCAAUGUUUCAUAUUUACCAUUAUUGUUCAUGAUUUCGGCCGAUAUUCCGAUAAACUGGCCGAUUUAUCGCUUACACGUAUCUGGCCAAUAAGAUAAAUCAGCCAUUAAAUCGGUCGAUAUGCCUAUAAACCGGCCAAUUUACCCCUUUUCUUGGGUCCACCGAUAAGUCCCCGAUAAGUGAUUUCCCCAACAUUGUUUAUCAAUGCAUUUUUAUUAAGUUAUAUACCAAUUUGUAGGCGGCACAGAAGAGAUAAUAUUCUGGCACAUCACCAACAACGAAAGUAAGCCCCUUUUGAUACAUCUUUUUUCUUUUGUGCACACCACAUGUAAAAACAUAUAUUGAGGAAACUUUGUAUACAUAUAUUUAUUUAUUUAUUUAUUCAGAAUUGCUUGGCUUUAGAAAUCAUGGUUUUGAUAAUAAUUGUUAAAUUGGAUGACUACAGUCCAAAUCCAAAUUGGUUUUUUGACCACUCCAAAAGGCUUAUAGAUGACACCUGAGCAAUGAUGAGGACAUAUUUGAGCCCGUCACUUUUAAAUGGGUUAUGACUGACGUGCAAAAGAUAUUGAUCCAUCAUUGCUUAGUACUCCCUCCGUAAGGCCAGAUCCUUCAGACCCACACGCGAGCAAGGAAACCAAGCCACCUGCUGCGACCGGCGACAAUACCCACCACCACUCAUCGCCCACACGACCGAGGAUGUGGAGAAACAUUUCUGACACCGCUCACUAUAGAGAUGGCAUCACUAUAGCACCUGAGGUCAUGGCCUCGGCACCCAAAGCCUUCCGUACGGGGUGAAGUAGCCACAUCCUUGUCGCCACUGUCCUUGGCGACUACGCAGGCUUCGUCGGAGGCCUCCUGGAGCGUCAACAAGGAGGUAAGGGGGAGAGAGAGUUGGCGACAAGGGUUUCGUUCCCUUUUGUGUUGCCCCGAGCGGAGCAAUGCGGGGGUAGGGUGAAGCGUUAUGUCCCACUCAACCAUCAUGUGGAUUUGGUCCAACAACCAACAUAGGAAAAAAUCCCAAGGAUUCUAAUCCUCCAAAAUUACUAUGAAACUUGAAUCAAAUGAGCCCUUAAACCCACUACAAGCAUCAUGUAUCCUCUUAUUUUAAAACAUGCAGUGUUUCCAACUUUCUAGAUAGUCCAGAAAACAUAAGCAACCCCAAGUAACAUAAGAUAUUUGUCUUGUUUUGGGAAACCAUUAAUCCAGGAAUUAUACAUGCCAUGAACGGUCACGGGUAUAUUUGUGAAGGAAAAUGCACAUAUAUUCCAAACAAGCUUACCAGGAGACCAACUAAUACAAGAUGAUCAAUUGUUUAAUCCAAACCACAAUACUAACACUUUGCAUCUCCCUGACAUCCUCUCCUCAACAAGUUAUAUUUGGUUAAAAUACUAUUUAUAAAUAAGCAACAAGAAAUUUUGAUCUUCAUAUGAAUUUAAGUUUUCCACAAGAAUUUAUGUGGAAAUCUACAAUCGCCUCUCAUCGUCAAUUCAUACAUAGAGUUUACUAUAAAUUACCCAUUAUUAACACACAUCCACCUUAUUGUAUCAGGUAGACCAGUCAGUUGAGUGCUCUCACAAGUUUCAUUAAGACCAUUCCAUAAGACCAAGGUUUCACCAUAAAAGUCCUUCUAAACUUUAUGUCCCUAAAGCCUCUCUUUAUGAUGUUGGCCAUUGAAAUAUUUUGAUCAAACAUACAUUGUAAAGCAUUGCAUAAGCAUGUGACAGUGGCCAAUCUCCCACCCACAAGUCCUCCCAGAAUCUAGUGUUACAACCAUUAACCACUAUAUGUCUGCAAUUGUCAAAGAUUUUUUUGUGUGUUUCAAAAACCCAUACCAGAAUUGUGAAUCACAUGAUUUAUGACUAAUCCAGACAAACACUUCUUUCGGAGAUACUUAUUCUUAAGAAUAUCUUUCCAUACCCCUCUUAAUUACUAAGGUACCACGUGCAUUUAGAUAAUAAGGCAUUAUUUUUGAAUUUAUAUUCUAGACCCCUAGACUGCCAUAGUCCUUAGGUAAGUACACCACCAGCCAUCUCACCAAGUGAUACUUCCACUUAUUAACAUCUUCUUGCCAAAAUAACCUAGCUAUAUAGAAACUGAUCUUUUUUCUUACUCCAAUAGGAAGACCAUAGAAAGACAACGGGAAAAUAGGUAUAUUUCGAUAAGCUAGGUUGGAUUAGAAUCAACCCCUCACUAAUACCUAGCAAUCUACCUUGGAAACUUCCACAUUUCUUUUCUUGUUAUUUAAAAAUCUUCCAGUGAACAUUUCUGAUUCCUUGCUCAUUUACUGGGAUCUCCGGAUACCUAGUGAGUAAACUCCCCAUUGGACAAGUAAUUAUCAUGUUAUGUUGGUCAGCUUUAUUGUUAGCUUCACCAAACAAAAAAAACCUCACUUUUGUUGAAGUUAAUUUUCAAACCAGUCAUUUGUUCAAAUGCGCACAGGAUAAAUUUGAGCUCAUGUGCACUUGCUAAAUCAUCAUCUAAUAGCUAGCCGUACCAUCUUGGUUGAAAGAUCAAAGAUCAAUAUUUAUAUUGGAAGCUCAUUGUUUUGAAGCUCCCGUGUCUUAAAUUACAGGCAGGCCUAGCCAAGGACAAACAAGCUCAGAAAAAUCACCAUUUUUUUUAUAAAAUAGCAUUGCUUCGGCCCUACCCGAGGACAAAUGAGCACAACAAUUUCAUUGUUUCUUUAAAAGAUAUCGUAACAUCUUACCUACCAGAGUACAAAACUCAUAACCAAUGGGACCAUUAGGUAUUGACCUAAGCGAGAACGAGUGACUUCAUGUCACUACCUCAAGUCUUUUUAAGGAUUGACCCUUCACUAGGCUUAUUCCACGUCUUGCAUCCAUGUGGUUGAAAUAUAUACUCUUUUUUCUACGAGUUUGGUCCAUGCACACAAGUUUUUGUUUCAUAGAUGUAAGCAUAGGAGGCACCAGGAACUACGGGUGAAAAACCAAAUUUACUACAUUCACAAGUUUAUCCUUUAUGCUAUAUCAAAUUGGCUAUUUCACCCGAGUCUCACCAAUCCAUUAACCUAUGUGCUCUCCUACUAUGAUCACCUAUACGCUAAGCUCUCAAUAUUUCUUGGUGGAACGAACAAUAGAAUCAUGUGAUGCUCCAUUGGGAUGGAAUGGCAUCGAAGGUGGCUGGUUCACAUUAGCGGUGGUCUUAAGAAAAGAGGGCUAGCAUGUUUAGUCGAUGGUUCGGUAGGGGAAAUGCAUACGUAUUGGAAAUUAUACACAAAGAUGGUGAUAUACCAUUGCAUCUGGUUAGCUGCUCUGCUAGUGUAGAAACAAGCAUUAGAAGUGUCCCUUGGCGGCGGUUGUGACCCGAGAGAUGAGCGAGUGAAAACUGAUGCAAAACGCAGCGAGGCUCGUGCGUCAAUCGGCUCCAACACACCACACACAUACAACACAGGUAGGCCACAGGACACGAUCUGAAGGUGGGAGGACAACAUGAUUAUCACUUAAGUCCCCGGUGCUCUCGUUGACCAUUGUGGCCCAGCCUUACAGGCGACGAGACAAAACCCUAUGCCACACCAUCACAACUCCUAAUUCCACUUGGAAUUCUUGCACAAAUUGACGUUUUUUUUUUGCGGGUGUGCACAAAUUGACGUUAAAGCUCUACAAAGCAGCACAAUUACUUACAAGGAGAGAAACAGUAGCACGGACGGGCUGAUAUCUCAGGUGCCAUCGAUCCAUCCAUCUUGCUGCAAAAAGUCCCCAAACCAAACAAGACAUGCACCCAUCCCCUCGCCGUAUCCUCCAUCCAGCGCCCUGCGCCCCUGCCCCAANNNNNNNNNNNNNNNNNNNNNNNNNNNNNNNNNNNNNNNNNNNNNNNNNNNNNNNNNNNNNNNNNNNNNNNNNNNNNNNNNNNNNNNNNNNNNNNNNNNNNNNNNNNNNNNNNNNNNNNNNNNNNNNNNNNNNNNNNNNNNNNNNNNNNNNNNNNNNNNNNNNNNNNNNNNNNNNNNNNNNNNNNNNNNNNNNNNNNNNNNNNNNNNNNNNNNNNNNNNNNNNNNNNNNNNNNNNNNNNNNNNNNNNNNNNNNNNNNNNNNNNNNNNNNNNNNNNNNNNNNNNNNNNNNNNNNNNNNNNNNNNNNNNNNNNNNNNNNNNNNNNNNNNNNNNNNNNNNNNNNNNNNNNNNNNNNNNNNNNNNNNNNNNNNNNNNNNNNNNNNNNNNNNNNNNNNNNNNNNNNNNNNNNNNNNNNNNNNNNNNNNNNNNNNNNNNNNNNNNNNNNNNNNNNNNNNNNNNNNNNNNNNNNNNNNNNNNNNNNNNNNNNNNNNNNNNNNNUGACGCAAACCCCAAAAAUGCGGCUGCCCGCCCCCAUUGCCUUCCCGCGUCCGUGCGCCCGUGCGACGGACGCGUUGUGUCGUGACGGAACCACCUGCCGUGCGACGGACGCGGGUGGUUCCGUCACGACGGACGCGCCCGCGGCCGUGCGGGGCAGCAGUAAACUGGAGGCGGACAAGCCAGGGGCAACAGUGCGGCGAUGUGCGGGCUUUCCUUUCUGGCUCCUCCACCGCCCGGCACCACGUGGGCUGCCGCCGCGCCAGGGCAUCCCGUUUCACGUCAAAGUAGGCCGCGGGGCCGACGCAUAGACGCACGCAUGCACUCCCAGUCUCCCCGGUCUCGCACUGCAUCUGCUCUCUGAUGCGUGUGGUGCGCACCGUGGUGGCCCGAUCGGAUCGUGGUUGAUUGUUCCGUGACUUCCGUCGACCUCACGGUCUUUCGCUAGCGAGAAACGGGAAGAGCCCAUGCGGAUGCUUUUGCUACAUCUAGAAAUUGAAUUGUCUUGGCGGAAGGACAAAAUUUUCAAGAUACUACUCCCUCCGUUAAAUCGUUUAUUACCAGGAGAGCAAUUAAUACAAGAUGAUCAAUUGUUUAAUCCAAACCACAAAACUAACACUUUGCAUCUCCCUGACAUCCUCUCCUCAACAAGUUAUCUUUGGUUAAAAUACUAGUCCAUCUAUCCAUAUAUAGUAACUUUCUCCACGUGCAGCUGUCUGGUUGCGCUCAGGUCCUGAUGAGAUUGUAAGCCUUUGUGGCGAAACCACUCAUUAAUAUAAUCUCUUUUACCCGCAAAAAAAACUUUGACCACAUGCUAGAGCAUUAAUAUAUGACAUGCAAGUUACACAAAGCUUAUCGUCAAAUUCGUACGUGAAAGGAGCUUCCAAUGAUAUAAUUUUCAUAUUGUACAUCUCAUACAUUAAUAAUCUUAUCAAUAGUCAAAGGCUUACUCAAAAAACGCAUUAGGCCCCGUAUAUAUGGAUGGAGGGAGUAUUUACAAACAAGCAACAAGAAAAUUUUGAUCUUCAUAGGAAUUUAAGUUUUCCACAAGAGUUUAUUUGGAAAUCUACAAUCACCUCUCAUCGUCAAUUCAUACAUAGGUUUUACUAUAAAUAACCCAUUAUUGACACCCAUCCACCAUAUUGUAUCAGGUAGACGAGUUAGUUGAAUGCUCUCACAAGUUUCAUUAAGACCAUUCCAUAAGACCAAGGUUUCACCAUAAAAGUCCUUCUAAACUUUAUGUCCCUAAAGCCUCUCUCUAUGACAUUGGCUAUAGAAAUAUUUUGAUCAAACAUACAUUGUAGAGCAUUGCAUAAGCAUGUGAUAGUGUCUGCUCUCCCACCCGCAAGUCCUCCCAGAAUCUAGUGUUACAACCAUUACCCACUAUAUGUCUGCAAUUGUCAAAGAUUUUUUGUGUGUGUUUCAAAAACCCAUACCAGAAUUGUGAAUCACAUGAUUUAUGACUUAAUCCAAAACAAACACUUCUUUCUNNNNNNNNNNNNNNNNNNNNNNNNNNNNNNNNNNNNNNNNNNNNNNNNNNNNNNNNNNNNNNNNNNNNNNNNNNNNNNNNNNNNNNNNNNNNNNNNNNNNNNNNNNNNNNNNNNNNNNNNNNNNNNNNNNNNNNNNNNNNNNNNNNNNNNNNNNNNNNNNNNNNNNNNNNNNNNNNNNNNNNNNNNNNNNNNNNNNNNNNNNNNNNNNNNNNNNNNNNNNNNNNAAGUACUAAGGUUCCACACGUAUUUAGAUAAUAAGGCACUAUUUUUGAAUUUACAUUCUUGACCCCUGGACCACCAUAGUCAUUAGGUAAGCACACCACCAGCCAUCUCACCAAGUGAUACUUCCUCUUAUUAACAUAUUCUUGCCAUAAUAACCUAGCUAUAAAGAAAUUGAUCUUUUUCUUACUCCGAUAUUGAAGACCAUAGAAAGACAUCACGAAAAUAGGUACUCACUAAUACCUAGCAACCUACCUUGGAAACUUCCACAUUUUUUUCUUAUUAUUUAAAAAUUCUGCCAGUGAACAUUUAUGAUUCCUUGUGCAUUUACUAGGAUCUCUGGAUACCUAGUUAGUAAAUUCCCCAUUGGACAAGUAAUUAUCGUGUUAUGUUUUGUCAGCUUUAUUGUUAGCUUCACCGAACAAAAAAACCUCACUUUUGUUAAAGUUAAUUUUCAAACCAGUCAAUUGUUCAAAUGCGCAUAAGACAAAUUUGAGGUUAUGUGCACUUGCUAAAUCAUCAUCUAAUAAAUAGCCGCAUCAUCUUGGUGUAAAGAUCGAAGAUCAAUACUUAUAUUGAAAGCAUUGGGAGCUCAUUGUUUGAACCUCUCGUGUCUUAAAUUAUAGGCAGGCCUAGCCAAGGACAGACAAGCUCAGAAAAUUCACCAUUGUUAUAAAAUAGCAUUACUUCGGACCUACCCGAGAACAAACGAGCACAACAAUUCCAUCAUUUCUUUAAAAAUAUUGUAACAUCUUACCUGCCAGAGUACAAAACUCAUAACCAAUGGGACCAUGUCACUACCUCAAGUCUAUUUAAGGAGUGAGCCUUCACUAGGCUUAUUCCACAUCUUGCAUCCAUGUGGUUGAAAUAUAUACUCUUAUUUCUACGAGUUUGGUCCAUGCACACAAAUUUGUAUUUCGUAGAUGUAAGCAUAGGAGACACCAGGAACUACCGGUGGAAAACCAAAUUUACAACAUUCACAAGUUUAUCCCUUAUGCUAUAUCAAAUUGGCUAUUUCACCCGAGUCUCACCCCUCCACUAACCUAUGCGCUCUCCUAGUAUGAUCAUCCUAUACACCAAGCUCUCAAUAUCUCUUGGUGGAACGAACAAUAGAAUCAUUUGAUGCUCCGUUGGGAUGGAAUGGCAUCGAAGGUGGCUGGUUUACAUUAGCCAUGGUCUUAAGAAAAGAGGGCUAGCAUGUUUAGUCGAUGGUUCGGGAGGGGAAAUGCAUACGUAUUGGAACUUGUACAGAAAGAUGGUGAUAUACCAUUGCAUUUGGUUAGCUGCUAGUAUAGAAACAAGCAUUAGAAGUGUCCCUUGGCGGCGGUUCUGACCCAAGAGAUUCAAGAGGCAUGUAAUCCAUACAUCGGAGGUGAUUAUUCUUGUUAUAGAAAGUGCCUGAGGCAGUUAGAAUUCUGAAACCUCCUAUAGGAAAACGUUGAGGCGGUUAGUAGAAUAGAAUCGUCUCUAGUUUCUCUCCAGCGCAGACGGUUUUCUCUAAACCAUUUCUAGUUUGUGAGUACCACGGGCCGUAGGCAAUUCCCUUCUCAUAUUAUUCAGAUUCUCCUUUAUCCCUCUUCAUUUUUGUCCCUUCCUCGGCCCAUGACCGAACCUUAUCACCGUUGCCGCAAAGUUCGUCUUCAAGAACUCGCGAGACAUUCACUAUGUCUUCACUAGUGAACUACAUCGACGAAGUCCUCCGACGAACUGAGCCAGCACCAUGGCAGAUUCACUUAGCCACAACAUCGACCCAAGACUCCAUUGUGGUAGAUUCUGCAGACCACAUGAUGUCUACUAUGCAACUUUUAUUCUUGUAGACUCAGUUGGGCCUCCAAGCGCAGAGUUUUGUAGGACAGCAACAAAUUCCCUCAAGUGCAUUACCUAAGGUUUAUCAUUCCGUGGGAGGUGUAGGAUGAAGAUGGUCUCUCUCAAACAACCCUGCAAUCAAAUACAAGAAAUCUCUUGUGUCCCCAACACACCCAAUACAAAUGUCAAUUGUAUAGGUGCACUAGUUCGACGAAGAAAUGGUGAUACAAGUGUAAUACAGAUGGUAGAAAUACAUUUUUAUAAUCUGAAUAAAUAAAAACAACAACGUAGCAAGUAGCAAAAGUGAACAAAAAUGGUGUUGCAAUGUUUGGAAACAAGGCCUAGGGUUCAUACUUUCACUAGUGCAAUCUCUCAACAACGCAAACAUAAUAAUCAUAUAACAAUCCCUCAACGUGCAAAAAAAAUCACUCCAAGUUUCUAUCGGAUAAAGUAGGACGAAAAUGUGUAUCAACCUAUGUGCGUAGAUUACCCCAAUGUCACCACCAGAAUUCGCAAGUUGAUUACCAAAACAUAUAUCAAGUGACUCAAUAGAAUACCGCAUUAUCACAACGGGUAUCCACAUGCAAGACAUACAUCAAGUGAUCUCAAAUCCAAUAUUCAAUCCAACAUAAUGUAACCUCAAAGAGCAAGACUCGAUUCAUCACGACAAAAAUAGAGGGAAGAACACCAUAUGAUUCCGCAAUAUUAACAAAGCUCAUGGUACAUCAAGAUCCUGCCCUAUAAAGAUCACGAGAGAGAGAGAGAGAGAUCAAACACAUAGCUACGGGUACAUACCCUCAGCCCCGGGGUGAACUACUCCCGCCUCAUCAUGGAAGUCGCAGGGGUGAUGAAGAUGGCCUCCGGUGAUGACUUCCCCCUUCUAGCAGGGAGCCAGAAUGGAGCUCCGGAUGAGAUUGCUUCGGAACAGAGGCUUGCAGUGGCGAAAAAACUCAUCUAGGUUAACUUUCGGGGGUUUCUGGAUUUAUAGGAUUUUUUCAGCGUUGGAUUCACAUCAGGGGGGUUCCCGAGGGACCCACAAGCUCAGGUGGUGUGCCCUAAGGGGGGUGCGCCACCCAGGCUUGUGGCCCCCUUGGACCUCGUCUGGUCCUCCUCCGAAGCCUCCUGGGUCUCUUCUCGUCCAUAAAAAAUCACCGUAAAUUUUUGUUGCAUUUGGACUUCGUUUGGUAUGGUUUUUCAGCGAAGCGAAGAAAUAGCCAAAAACAGAAACUGGCACUAGGCACUAGGUUAAUAGGUUAGUUCCCAAAAAUAAUAUAAAGGUGCACCAAGACCAUAUAAAAACAUUGUAAACAUGGCAUGAAUACUUCAUAAAUUAUAUAUACGUUAGAGACGUAUCACCACGCCAUCAAACCAGGCCUCCCUCAAACGAGGCGCCACCAUCGCAGAUCCAACGGGCUACGCCAUCGACCAAGGCAUCUUGGCGGGCUGGAGGGAGUGGCGGCUGUCGGGAGGAGAAUGCCAGUGCUGCUUAACUCCAAUGAGGUUUCCACCCAUUGAGUACAUCACCUGGGAGGAACCCUUACGACAACAUCGUCCAGGAUCCGGCAUGGUAAGAUUCCAAGUGUUAGCACCUUGUCCUUUGAUGGAGUUUCGUAGGUUUAGCCGUUUUAUGCUAGUAUAUUUUAAGGGUUAAUUGUUGUAUUUAGAAUCAGAAAUCAAUGUUUAGGGUUUAUAGUUUAGGCCAUAGAAUUUAGAAUGAUAUAUCAAACAAUUCUAAUGGUGUUGUGCUAGCCUAUAGCUUGCUGUUAAAACUUGUAACAUGUAUACAUGUUAAAGGUUUGGCUAGCUUUUGUAUGUAUGUGCUAAAGAAUAACUAAAAUUCUUUAACUCAUGCUACUAGAAAAGUUAUACAUUUUAUGUUGAAAAAUAUGAUUCAUUAUGUUAUGGAAGGUAUGUAGCUUCUCCUCUCCUGACACUAGAUUACAUAUAUAUCACUUGAUGUAAUAAAGUCAAACAUUAAUUACACACUUUCGUCGAACAUUUUUUAUCCCACUCUUGUCUUAGACUUGUUCACCAUGUCUAUCCAAAGACCAUGUCUAAUGCAAGCAUUGAAGAACAAAGUUUUAAAGAUUGUUCAGUAAAUGGUGUUGACCUACCUACACAUUGAAAGGAUCGAUAUAGUUGACUAGAGGGGGGUGAAUAGGCAACUAACAAUUUUUAGCUUUUCUUUAUCAAAUUAAAAUUUGCAUCAAAGUAGGUUGUCUAGAUAUGCAACUAGGUGAGCAACCUAUAUGAUGCAGCAACAACAACAAGCACACAAGCAAGCAAGGGAUACAACACAAUAUAAGCUUGCACAAGUAAAGGUGAGAGAUAACCAAGAGUGGAGCCGGUGGAGACGUGGGUGUGUUACCGAAGUUCCUUCCCUUUGAGAGGAAGUAUGUCUCCGUUGGAGCGGUGUGGACGCACAAUGCUCCCCAAGAAGCCACUAGGGCCACCGUAUUCUCCUCACGCCCUCACACAAUGCGAGAUGUCGUGAUUCCACUAUUGGUGCCCUUGGAGGCAGCGACCGAACCUUUACAAACAAGGUCGGGGCAAUCUCCACAACUUAAUUGGAGGCUCCCAACGACACCACAAAGCUUCACCACAAUGGAAUAUGGCUCCGCGGUGAGCUCAACCGUCUAGGGUGCUCAAACACCCAAGAGUAACAAGAUCCGCAAGGGAUUUGUGUGGGGAAUCAAAUUUCUCUUGGUGGAAGUGUAGAUCGGGGCCUUCUCAACCAAUCCCUAGAAAAUCAACAAGUUUGAUUGGCUAGGGAGAGAGAUCGGGCGAAAAUGGAGCUUUGAGCAACAAUGGAGCUUGGAGAGGGAAGAGGUAGUCAACUUGGGGAAGAAGACCCCCCUUAUAUAGUGGGAGGAAAGAUCCAACCGUUACCCACUUAUUCAGCCCGCGACAUGCGGUACUACCGCACAUACCCACGGUACUACCGCUGGCGCGGCAGGGGCCAGACGAGGCCCUGUUGCGUAUAGCUACGAGCGGUAGAACCGCCGGAAUGGUACUACCGCGCGCCCUUGUGGUACUACCGCAAGGCAGGGUUCAAUCUGGGCUGGGAAGGCACGGACUAAUAAAAUUACAUCUGUGGCUACUUCCGCUGAGUAUCGGUCUGUACAAAAAUCCGGCACGGUACUACAGCUCACAGGGAGCAGUACUACCGCGUAGGGUGCGGAAGUAAAAAAUUACUUCCGCCCCUACUUCCGCGCAUGCCAGCGUUCUGGGCUAGAGGCCACUGUACUACCGCUCGCCAGGAGCGGUACUACCGCACAACGCGGUACUACUGCGGCCCUGGGCGGUACUACCGUUGGUCACUGCGGUACUACUGCUCCCCUGAUAUACAGUAGGACUUGGAGGCCUUCAUCUUUGCAAAGACAAGGGAAAACGACCAGUGCUCGAAUGAAGUGAAGGAAAGGUGGUGCAAAGGAACAGAAGUGUACGUGUUGAUUCCACCCUAACCGUUCCGAAGCGGACCCCCUCUUAAUAGUACGGCUUUCCUACGACUCAAAUCCACGGAAAAGAAACGUAGAGAAACGUCGUCUUCAAUAGGCUCCGAGGGGCACCGAAUUGUCUUGUGCCUAGACAUGAGAUAUCUGAAAUGCUCAAUGCACACGAUUAGUCCGCAAAUGCAUUGUCAUCAAUCACCAAAACACCAUAGGGAGAAAUAUGCCCCUACAAUCUCCCCCUUUUUGGUGGAUUGAUGACAAUAUUGGAUUUGCACAUAGGGAUAUAAGAUGAACAUAAGCAAACCCAACAUCUACAAAAUAUAGACAGGCACCCCUAGAUGUGCGCACUCUAUAGAAAUGCUUUGGACUGCACGACACACAUGCUAGGAUCAACACUCCCCCUAUAUUUUAUAAACAAGGCAACCCUUGCAACAAUAUGAAUGACACUAAGCUUGGAGGCAAGGUAAAGUAAUGAGCAUGAAGUACAGGGCACAUGAUAGCAUAAGCUCACAAUCUACUAAACAUAGUAGACAAUAAGAUAAGACAAAAAGAUAAGCUGAGGACAUAUGUCUUACACCAUAUGAUAGACUCCUGGACUCACACAAACACAACCACAAACCAACAAAUCAAAGCAACGAAGGUUCAACAGAACAAAAGCAGAGUGAAACAAGUGAAACAAGACACGAUACAAGACUCGCAAAUCCUACACUCUCUCCCACUUUGGCAACGAGACACCAAAAAGGCAGAGAGGACACCUACGACACAGGUGGUGGUAGAUCUCCAAAGCAUCACCAGUCAUGUUCCUCCUCCUUAGACUCCUCAACGGCACGGGAUGAAGAGGGAACUCCAGACUCCUCCUCUGACUCACUCCACCGGCAGUGUUGUCCGGUCCAUUGCUGCUCAUCUGUGAUCCUCUCCUCAGAGCCAUCCUGGACUUCAAGGCCAACCUGUCUCAUAAUAGCCUUGUCGCGAUGACGAGCCAUCUUGGCGUUCACAUGAGCCUAGUACUGCCCCUUGGCCUGCAUGCAGAACAGAGCCUUCAUCUUGGCCUUGAGCUUCUUAGCCCAAGUUGGCUCAGUAGAGGGAGGAACGUAUCCCUCAGAACUGUCCUCAGACGCCUCUUCCUCCUCAAACUCAUCCUCAUCCACAUCCAUCCUAGCAGCCUCUGCCUCAGCCCGGGUAGUGGUGUUAGCCCACUUGCUCUUGAUGCAUAGCUUAAUAGGCUCAUGGCGAAUAAGCCAGCUGGAAGCAUGAAACUCUUCAUCCAAAAAGAGCUUCUCCCAAGUCUUCGAGAUCAAGAAAAACAGGUAAGGUCCAUAGAUGGGCACCUUACGAUUGAACACAACAAACUGCAGCUCACACCACAUGAUAUGAGAGACAUCAAGUGGUUCCGUCUGUUGGAGACGCGCCUUCUCACAGAUGAGCAUCAUGUCCACAAGAUAGGCAUGCACCUUGUCCUUGUCGCCUAUGCGAGGAAAAAUUGAGUUGCGGAAGAUCCGGUGCAUGAUGUCAAGGAAUAGGUUUAGCACACAGGUCUUCUUGUCAUUGGCAAGCUUCUUCUCAACGAGGUAGGGUUGAAGCUUGUUCUGGUUGGCCGACUCGGGGUUGGCAUGUGGGCGGACACCAACGGGCACAUUGAGCCCCUCAUCACGAACGUGCAACAAUGACAUGAACUCCUUCCACUUAGUAGACAUCCUCUUCCCAUUAGUCAUCCAAGUCAUGGUCCGCUGCUCAUCCGUGUGGAAGUGGACAGAAGCAAAGAACUGAGCCGCAAUCUCCGGGUCAAAGUCCAUGUGGAACGUGAGCAACUCCUCAAUGCCAAAGUGCUCCACCAAGUCCAGAGGCUCACCGAAAUAUGCCCGGUUGCUUUCCUUCUUCAUAUGAUUCAUGUCAAUCCAUUGCACUGGCACAUAGAUGUUCUGCUUGGCCUUGAUCACAUCCAAGAAGAUAACGUUUUGUUGCUUAGUCCAGAACAGGUCAUUACCCCUUGUGAUCUCCCUAGGACUGACGUAGGGUUGAGCUUUCUACGAAGCAGAAACUGCACCUAAGGCAUUUCAUCCAUGCCAACAUUUGGCUCCUUGAUCUUUUUAGCUGACGUCUUGACGUUGCGUUGUGGGGCACUGGAGCCCUCAGGAGCUUCUUGGUUGCGAAGCCGCUUGGAGCUCGUGUCGCGGCUGGGAUUCGAGCGACGGACAUUGGACCCACCACCUAUGAGACACAAAACAAACACGCGAGAAGAACGCGAAGGAUUAUUGCAAAGACCAAGGCCAAAACCAAACGGAACAUGUAGAAAUGAGAUUGAGUGGACAAAACAAGGCAAUUUUUAACUCAACGGUAGUACUGGGCCGGAAUGCGGAUGUAAAAUUUUACAGCCGCUCUAGCCGUGGUAGUACUAUGCCGGGGUGGCACGGGAGUACCGCGCCUGCAGCGGAAGUAAAAUUUUACUUCCGCGCCCCGAGCGGUAGUACCGCUCCAGCGGAGCGGUUCUCGUACGAGCGAGCGGUAGUACCGCACGGAACCACAUCGCGCAAGAACGGCAUCUAUGGAUCUAGAAACAUCCGCAAAAGUAGAUUGGUACUACCAUUGAUAAAAACUACACUGUUGCAUCACACCAAAUAGCAUAUCUACUGCACUAGCACUCUCCUACAACCUCCUGUUGCUAAGAUUUAGCCGAAAAUCACAAGAACUACACAUGCAUCUCCCCAAGACCUAGAAGCACAAAAAAGGGGCAAAGAGAGAGGGACUAGGGGAGAUACCGGGGUCCAUGGCAAGAGGGCGAGGUGGGGAUCGAUCCCACCGGUCGGAAUGCGAGGAGAGCGGCCGGAGACGGAGAUCCGGCGAGGUCCUCCGGCGCUGUUCUUGGGCAGGAGAGAGAGAGAGAGAGACGAAGUGGGGGAAAGAGAUGAAUGGGUAUGGGGGAGUUAGAACUCCCCCUGCUCGCUCUUAACCCCCACGCGCUCGUGACUGCGCGGUAGUACCGCGGGUCAUCUCGGUAGUACCGCCCGGGCGGAAGUACCGCACACGGGGCGGUAGUACCGCUCUUCCAGCGGCAGUAAAAAAUUACUGCCGCAAUGGAAGCGGUAGUACCGUGCCUGGCAUGCCGCUGUGCACGCUCAGGGCAAGCCAUCUCCUGCAGUAGUAUCAUGGCUUGCCACGGUAGUACUGUAAGCCCAAGAAAGUGCAUGUUUGGACAAAAACUGAGAAAACACGGCCUUUGCAAUGCAACCUUCAAGCAACCGGACAUGCAAAAGAGCACACAAACAAGGCAACUCAAAUACAAACACGGCACAAAAGAAGGCAAAAGACAACAAGGACCAAACACGAAACAAAACCCCUCAAAAAGAGAGGGCGGUGGCCGGAGCCACCUAUGUUUGAGUCAAUUGGUAUGGCACCGCGAAGAAUUAUCCUUGGGCCCAUGACCAAAACUCAUCUUUGAAGCACAAGUACCAUAAAAAUGGUUAAUGUGAAAGAGUUGAUCAAUUUAUGCAUAAUGGGGGGAGGGAGAGUUCAUUGAGAGAACAACACUACCCCUGUGUCCAUGCCUACACCUAAACAAGACAUCAAGAUGAGUAUGGUGGGGUGUGCAAGGGUUCAAGCCACAUUGCUCAAAUCAAUGAUAUUUAGCUCAUGCCUUAACUCGCGAAAUCUUGCUUCAUCCAAGGGCUUCGUGAAAAUAUCUGCAAGGUUAUCAUGAGUGUUGACAUAGUUGAGCUCGAUCUCCCCUCGCCUAAUGUGAUCCCGGAUGAAGUGACACCGAAUCUCAAUAUGCUUCGUCUUGAAGUGUUGCACCGGGUUGAGGGAAAUCUUGAUAGCACUUUCAUUGUCACACCAAAGAGGCACUUUGUCACAAAUGACACCGUAAUCCUUUAAAGUUUGCCUCAUCCAUAGAAGUUGAGCACAACAACUACCGGCGGCCACAUACUCCGCUUCGGUGGACGAGAGAGACACACAACUUUGCUUCUUAGAAAACCAACUCACCAAAGAGCAACCAAGAAAUUGGCAUCCUCCGAAAGUUGACUUCCUAUCCACUUUGUCUCCCGCCCAAUCCGAGUCCGAAAAGCCCACAAGGUUGAAGUUAGCUCCUCUUGGGUACCAUAAGCCAAAGUUUGGGGUAUGAGCCAAAUAUCAAAGAUUCGCUUGACCGGCACAUAGUGGCUUUCCUUAGGUGCGGCUUGAAACCAUGCACAAAUUCCCACGCUCAACAUGAUAUCCGGCCUAGAUGCACAAAGGUAAAGCAAGGAGUUAAUCAUGGAGCGAUAUACCUUUUGAUCCAUCGCUUUACCAUUGGGAUCUAUGUCAAGUUGGCAUUUGACGGGCAUCGGAGUGGAAGCCGGCUUGACAUCACUUAGCUUGAAUCUCUUGAGCAUGUCUUGAGUGUAUUUUGCUUGGUUGAUGAAGGUUCCUUCUCUUCUUUGCUUGAUUUCGAACCCGAGAAAGAACUUCAACUCUCCCAUCAUGGACAUCUUGAACUUUGAGGUCAUGAGAGCGGCAAAUUCCUCAUUGAAAGCUUUGUUAGGGGAACCAAAGAUAAUAUUAUCAACAUAUAGUUGGCAUACAAACAACUCCCCUUUGACCUUCUUAGUAAAAAGAGUGGGGUCGAUUUUCCCAAUUUCAAACCCACAAUCUUGCAACAACUCGGUAAGGUGCUCAUACCACGCAUGUGGGGCUUUCUUAAGGCCAUAGAGUGCCUUAUCGAGUUGGUACACAUGAUUGGGGAACUCGGGAUCCUCAAACCCCGGGGGUUGUUUGACAUACACCAACUCAUUAAUAGGACCAUUAAGAAAAGCACUCUUCACAUCCAUUUGUUGUAACUUGAAGUUAUGAUGAGAAGCAUAAGCAAUCAACAAACGAAUAGAUUCAAGGCGAGCAACGGGAGCAAAGGUUUCACCGUAGUAGAUACCCUCGACUUGGGAGUAGCCUUGUGCUACCAAACGAGCCUUGUUGCGAACGAUAAUCCCAUGAGCAUCUUGCUUGUUCUUGAAUAUCCACUUGCUUCCAAUGACAUUAUGGUUCCCCUUGGGCCUUGGCACCAAUCUCCACACCUUGUUGUGCUCGAAGUUGUUGAGUUCUUCAUGCAUGGCAUUAAGACAAUCCGGAUCCUCGAGCGCCUCAUAGACCUUUUGGGGUUCCACACAAGAAACAAACGUGUGAUGUUCAUGAUAGUUUGCUAAUUGUCUACGAGUGCUUACCCCCUUUCUUAAGCUUCCAAGCACAUUUGUCAUGAGAUGAUCUUUGGUAGUGAGCUUGGAUGCAAUCUUGGCGGUACGACGCUCCAAUUCCUCCUCGGGAGAGAGUUGAGGAGCAGUAACUUGAUCAUCUUGAGCGUCGUCUUGAGCUUGUUCUUGAUCUUGAGCUUGCUCUUGAUCUUGAACUUGAUCGGUGGUGAGAACUUGACCUUGGGAAUCACUUGGUGAUUCACCACCAUCUUGAGGUUGAUCUUGCCCUUGAUCUUGUUCAUUUGUUUGAGGGCCUUCACUUUGUUCUUCGGAAGCGUGUGGGUCUUGGGUUGGUGAUGGUUCCACUUGAGUGGAACAUUGUCCUUCUCCUUCGGCCACAAGGGGUUCCUUAAUGGGUAGGAUAUGACCAACACCCAUUCUUCUUAUGGCUUGGGGAGGAAUUUCAUCACCUACAUCACAAGUACCACUUUGCUCCACUUGGGAGCCAUUAUUUUCAUCAAACUCCACGUUACACGUCUCCUCAAUGAGUCCGGUGGACUUGUUGAGGACACGGUAAGCAUGGGAGUUUGUAGCAUAACCAAAAAAUAUGCCCUCAUGAGCUCUAGCCUCAAAUUUAGACAAAUCAACACCUUUCUUGAGAAUGAAACACUUACACCCGAACACCCAGAAGUACUUGAGGUUGGGCUUGUUACCGGUGAGUAUCUCAUAUGGAGUCUUCUUCAAGCCUUUGCGGAGAUAGAGCCGAUUGGAUGCAUGACAAGCGGUGUUGAUGGCUUCGGCCCAAAAGUUGUAUGGGGACUUGAACUCCGCCAUCAUGGUCCUUGUCGCAUCCAUCAACGUCCGGUUCUUCCUCUCCGCUACACCAUUUUGUUGAGGGGUGUAAGGUGCGGAAUAUUGAUGCUUGAUCCCCUCAUCACUAAGAAACUCAUCCAAGGUGUAGUUCUUGAACUCGGUGCCGUUGUCACUUCUUAUCGUCAAGAUCUUUGCAUUGUGCUGACGUUGAGCUUCAUUUGCAAAGUCGAUGACGGUUUGUUGGGUCUCACUCUUCCUCUUGAAGAAAUAUACCCAAGUGUAUCUUGAAUAAUCAUCCACAAUCACCAAGCAAUACUUUCUACCCCCAAGACUAUCAAAGGAUGGAGGCCCAAACAGAUCCAUGUGAAGGAUCUCCAAGGGCCUCUUCAAGUAGAAUGAUAGUCAUGGGAGGGUGAGCCUUCUCAUGUAGCUUUCCUUCGAUACAAGUACUGCAGGCACGAUCUUUGGCAAAACUAACAUUGGUUAGUCCAUGGACAUGGUCCCGCUUGAGAAGACUUUGCAAAGAUCUCAUAUUGGCGUGGGCUAAACGGCGAUGCCAAAGCCAUCCCACGUCAACUUUAGCCAUUAGGCAUGUCGCAGUCUUAGUGGGUCGCUCCGAAAAGUUAAUCACAUAUAGACCGUCCUCGACAUGCCCAACAAAGGCUACUUUAAGAGUCUUGCUCCACAAGAGGGCCACGGUAUCAAUAUCAAAGAAAGUGGCAAAGCCCAUGAAUGCAAGUUGACAAACGGAAAGUAAGUUGUAUGCAAGGGACUCAACAAGCAUGACUUUCUCGAUCGUGAGAUCAUGAGAAAUGACAACCUUGCCAAGCCCCAAUACCUUAGAGGACGAGGCGUCACCCCACUCGACAUUGGUGGGCGUAGAUGAGACCUUGUGCACGUCCACCACCAAGUCCUUGCUUCCGGUCAUAUGAUUUGUGGCUCCACUAUCGAGCAACCAUGAUCCCCCACCGGAAGGAAACACCUAUAAGAGAUCAAUGCUUGGUUUUAGGUACCCAUUUUGUAAUGGGUCCUUUGAUGUUAGUAACAAGGGUCUUAGGAACCCAAAUAGACCAUUCAAUGUACUCAUAAGGAGAACAGGCAUAAACAUGCCCAUCACUAGCAUGGCAUAGCACAUAAGAAGGGUUAAAGUCGCCGGCUUUGUUGGAAGGAGUGGCAAUGCCCUUCUUGACACCACCACCCUUCACAUUGUUCUUCUUCUCCUUGGAAGCACCCUCUCCCUCCUUCACAAAAGUUUGCUUGAGAGGAAGAGGUUGUUUGGCCUUGUCAUUCUUCUUCUUGUUCUUGGACUUGGGUGUAAACCUAAUUCCCUCCUUUUCCACAACUUCCUUUUGAUUGCUCAAAAGAUCGUUGAGGUUUUUCUCACCUUGUAUGCAAGACACAAGGCCUUUCUCAAGUUGCUCCUUCAACUUGGCAUUCUCCUCCACAAGAUGCACAUGCUCACAACACGGGUUAGUAGCAUUUGCAUUAUCAAUUAAGACCAUAUGAGGAAAUGUGGCUUUCUCCUUGGUUAGCUUCACUUGGAGUUGAUCAUGAGACUCCUUCAGGCUAGCAUGAGCACCCUUCAAGGCCUUGUGAGCCUUGUCAAGUAUAUCAAACUCCUCCUUGAGUCUAGCAUGAUCAACCCCAAGUUUAGCCUUCUCGGAUUGAGCACACGAGAUACAACAAGAGCACGAUCAAGAUCUUUCUUUAAUUUAGUAUGAUCAUCAUUGUGUGACUCCUCAAGAGCCAAACGAUGACCACGCUCUUCCUCGAGCGCAUUAGAGAGAUCCGAUAUCUCAUCGGCAUAAUCACGACUAUGUCCUUCCAUCUUAGAGAUGGUUUCUUCGUGAGCCUCGAUCAUGUCAUUGGCUUCACCAAGUUGUUCCAAGAGAGCAACAAAGUGCUUCUUGGAUUUACCCUCGAGCUUACUCAUAAAAGACUCAAAUUCAUUAACUUCCUCAUUAGACCCCUCACUUUCAUCAAUGCAAUCCGUCAAGGAAGGAUUAGUAGUGAUGGUAGUUUUUAUGUUGGGGGUUACCUUGUUGGUGGCUUUGGCCAUGAGGCACUUGGCGGUGAUGUUCUCGUUGGGUGAGUCAAAGAGGGACACCCGUGGAGUUGUGGCAAUGGCAACGGAGGCCAUGGCAACCGUCUCACCGUAUUCAUCAUCAUCAUCAUCCUCAUUGUACUCUUCUUGUACCACCAAUCCCUUGGGAGGAGUCUUCUUGGUGAAGUUGUUCUUGUUGGGGAAGGACUUGGCCUUGUCUUUUCGGAUAAGCUUGCCACCAUUGUCUUCCCGCUUCUCGUAUGGGCACUCCGCAACAAAGUGGCUCACGUUGCCACAAUUAUAGCAUGUCCUCACAUGUUGCUUGCCUUUGGCGCCACUUGAGUUGUUCUUGUUGAAGUUGGGCCUUCAGUUCUUCUUGCUCCAAAAUUGCCUUGAAGCGAGAACCAUGUGCUCAUGAUAAGCAUAUUUUGUAUCUUCGGGGUUACUCUCCUCUUCUUCCUCUUCGUCCUCUUCUUCCACACUAGCCUUGGACUUCAAAGCAAGGUUGGGUUUCUUUACUCGCUGAGAGCGCAACACCACAUUGUCGGCGGUCUUGUCCAAGAUUCUCAUAGCAACAAACUCAUCCAACGCUUCACUUGAGGACAAGGUAUGAAAGUCCGGCCUUUGAUGGAUGACAUGGCCUUAUGGUAGGGCAUCAUGGCCUUGAGAAACUUGCGCUUGAUCCAAUUUUCAUCCGUAUCCUUUCUCCCAUGAUCUCGGAGUGAGACCGCGAGAGUGGUUAAUCUCCGGUAGAGCUCACGAGGUUCUUCAUCUUCAUUCAUCGCAAACUCAUCGGCUUCAUCUUGCACCACUUCAUAGUUGGAGUGUUGAAUGCUUGCGCUUCCCUUGUAAAUGGAAACAACAUGUUGCCAUGCUUCCUUGGCCACGGUGAAAGGUCGGAGAUGCGCAAUAUCUUCGGGUGGAAUUGCAUCUUGGAUAAUGAAGCGAGCGGACUCGUUGAAUUGAUGAUCCGCGGCUUCUCUAGGAGUGAGGUUGCUUGGGUCAUGUGGGUAGAAACCUUGCGCAAUAAUUCUCCAAAGAUUAGUAGAAGUAUUAUUUAAAUGACGCUUAAAACGGUAGACCCAAGAGGCAAAAUCCUCAUUUUUCACAAACUUAGGAGGAGGACCAACGUGAUUCAAAUGAGUGGAGGGAACUGGUCCUCCAUAAGUAAGGGGUGGUUCAACAUGGGCAAAGAUGUCGUUUCCACUUCUACCACUAGGCAAAGGAACUUUAUCACUAGUAGCUUCCCCCCUUGUCGGAGUUAGCAUCCGUCACCUUGUUAGUGAGAUCGACCACUUCCAACGGUGCGGUGGAUAAUUUAAGACCAUCAAGAAACUCCUUAAACAUGCCUUUGACCUCGGUCGUCAUGGAGGUUUUCAAUGUGUCCAAAGCCGCAUUGAAUUCCUCGCGAGAGACCGAGGAUCCCCCAUCGGCCCUAGACAAGGACGGAUUCGCACCGGGGUGCUCCUCCCCACCGUCUACGGUGUCAACCAUACUCUUCGGACGGCAAUGUCCUUAAUAAAGAGACGAGGCUCUGAUACCAAUUGAAAGGAUCGAUAUAGUUGACUAGAGGGGGGUGAAUAGGCAACUAACAAUUUUUAGCUUUUCUUUAUCAAAUUAAACUUUGCAUCAAAGUAGGUUGUCUAGAUAUGCAACUAGGUGAGCAACCUAUAUGAUGCAGCACCAACAACAAGCACACAAGCAAGCAAGGGAUACAACACAAUAUAAGCUUGCACAAGUAAAGGUGAGAGAUAACCACGAGUGGAGCCGGUGGAGACGUGGGUGUGUUACCGAAGUUCCUUCCCUUUGAGAGGAAGUAUGUCUCCGUUGGAGCGGUGUGGAGGCACAAUGCUCCCCAAGAAGCCACUAGGGCCACCGUAUUCUCCUCACGCCCUCACACAAUGCGAGAUGCCGUGAUUCCACUAUUGGUGCCCUUGGAGGCGGCGACCGAACCUUUACAAACAAGGUUGGGGCAAUCUCCACGACUUAAGUGGAGGCUCCCAACGACACCACGAAGCUUCACCACAAUGGAAUAUGGCUCCACGGUGACCUCAACCAUCUAGGGUGCUCAAACACCCAAGAGUAACAAGAUCCGCAAGGGAUUAGUGGGGGGAAUCAAAUUUCUCUUGGUGGAAGUGUAGAUCGGGGCCUUCUCAACCAAUCCCUAGAAAAUCAACAAGUUUGAUUGGCUAGGGAGAGAGAUCGGGCGAAAAUGGAGCUUUGAGCAACAAUGGAGCUUGGGGAGGGAAGAGGUAGUCAACUUGGGGAAGAAGACCCCCCUUAUAUAGUGGGAGGAAAGAUCCAACCGUUACCCACUUAUUCAGCCCGCGACAUGCGGUACUACCGCACAUACCCACGGUACUACCGCAAGGGCAUGCGGUACUACCGCUAGGCGGUGCGGUACUACCGCUGGCGCUGCAGGGGCCAGACGAGGCCCUGCUGCGCAUAGCAACGAGCGGUAGAACCGCCAGAGCGGUACUACCACGUGCCCUUGCGGUACUACCGCAAGGCAGGGUUCGAUCUGGGCUGGGAAGGCAUGGACUAAUAAAAUUACAUCCGUGGCUACUUCUGCUGAGUAUCGGUCUGUGUGAAAAUCCGGCAUGGUACUACAACUCACAGGGAGCGGUACUACCGCGUAGUGUGUGGAAGUAAAAAAUUACUUCCGCCCCUACUUCCGCGCAUGCCAGCGUUCUGGGCUAGAGGCCACGGCCCUGGGCGGUACUACCGUGGGUCACUGCGGUACUACUGCUCCCCUGAGCAGUACUACCGCAUGCCACAGAACAGUAGCACUUGGAGGCCUUCAUCUUCGCAAAGACAAGGGAAAACGACAUGUGCUCUAAUGAAGCAAAGGAAAGGUGGUGCAAAGGAACAGAAGUGUACGUGUUGAUUCCACCCAAACCUUUCCAAAGCGGACCCCUCUUAAUAGUACAGCUUUCCUACGACUCAAAUCUACCGAAAAGAAACGUAGAGAAACGCCGUCUUUGAUAGGCUCCGAGGGGCACCGAAUCGUCUUGUGCCUAGACAUGAGAUAUCUGAAAUGCUCAAUGCACACGAUUAGUCCGCAAAUUCAUUGUCAUCAAUCACCAAAACAACAUAGGGAGAAAUAUGCCCUUACACACAUGUCUAAUGAAACUAUUCUAGGUCUAAAUGAAAUAUUUUUCUUGUAGGUGCUUAUUUCGAUGACUCUUUACAAAAUUACAACUUAGCAGUUUUGCCCAACACCUGUUAUGUUCCCGAAAGAACUUGAUUUUUUUGUUGAUUAUACUUUUCUAGAAUUAGAAAUCAUAUUACCAUGUUGUAAGUACAAACACCAAUAAUUUUUCCCUAUUGUCAAUAGGGAUAUCAGAGGGGGGAUGUACUAGGUCUCGUCACCAUUAUAAUGUUUGGCACAUUACACAAGACGCUUUUUUCAGAAAGAGUGUUUUGUAUAGUGUCGCCGAAAUGUCAUGGUGAUAAUGACAUUAUGUUUUAGGUGUAGUCGAAAAAAAUCUGUAAAGAAGAGGAAGGGUCAAGAGGAGACACCAGCUACUCAAGACGACAAUUCUUGUCUUCGGCAUUCAUAAUUGCACCUUCCUUUUAAAUACCGAUUAUGUGUUGUUGUCUUUUGAACUUCUUAUUUAGAGGCACAUUGGUACUGAAGAUGAAGACAUUGCCGACAAUAGGUCUUGGGAUGUAUAAUUAUUCUAAGCAAGUUUCAUUUAGUUCAAUCAUACUCGUGUUUUAAUUCCAAAUCAUUACUUUCUAAUAAAUUAUUUAUGUUGGAACAAAUAAUGCAUUCUGGGACACUAGAAAAUAAGGAUCGGGUUAUAGUUCCUCCACGGUGCAUCACUUCUAGUGUGCAUAAUUUGAGCACAUGCGAAAAUACUUAAAAAGAGAUCUACUAGAGACGACAUGAAGAGGCGAGAUGAGUAGACUACUCAUGACGAUGACAUAGUAUAAGCACAUCACAUUGACAUGCAACUCUUAAGCGUGCCGGAGAAAUUAGUCGGCAUUUGAACAAAGACAAGGGAACUAUAACUCUACAAGUCUACAAAAUAUAGUUGAUUUCUGUUCUCAUAUGUGACCGUGUGUUCGUUGAUUUUUGUUACCUACACUAAAUUUUCCUAUCCUACACUAAAAUAUGUUCACGAAUAAAAAGCAUAACAAAGUAUAAGAUAGGUUAAGGGAUCUUGUCUUUGUCGAAUUCAACUCUAGCAUGAAGCAUCAGAGAGAGAAGAAGAAUAGAGACCCCAUAGAGAAGACCAUUGAUGAUGUUCUGGAGGAUGAAGACAAUGAGUUCAUUAUUGGGAUUGUCUCAAUGAUAAUGUCUGCAAACAUUUUGGUAAUCAAGCUCAAGCUCAACAAGAGACAUCAGCAUCACAAGCACACACAAGAACGAAGAUGUUUGCACCAUCUAGGAAUAAGAGGAAAAGAGCAUGCACUCUAUUCUUAAUAGCAUCGUAGAAGACCCCAUGCUUUCUACUUCUUCCAGUUCUUUGUAUUCAGAAUCAGAAGAUAAUCAAGCUAUUCCAAGAUGAGUCUCACUCGGCCUAUGCCGACAGACUAAUUCAAUGUUUGCAUUGCACUAUGCAACUAUAAGGUUUUUUGUUUCUAGUUUGUAAUCAUAUUGUUCUUGUGUGCAGGUGUGCCUUUAGUCCUACCAGUUGCUAGACCGGAAUAUGUCCAAGUUAUGUACCUUUUGUUGUCUAAGUCAUGUAGUAGACUGGAUCAUCUCGAGCUAUGUACUUUGCAGGUUUGCGUCUUGUUGGGUGCAAGUUAUGUACUUAAUUUGCUAUGGCUGGGUGUUAUGUUAGCUGGAUGUUAUGUGCUAGGGCAUCCUGUAGUUAUGUAAAAGUUAUGCACUGAAUAUUGCUUUGGCUGGGUGUUAUAUUGGUUGACAUACAUGCAUCAAAAACUAUGUUUCGGGCAAGUGAUAUCAAAUAACAUGUGGUUGUUUGUGCUAGUUGCUAGUAGCCAUAUGUGAUUGAAAUAUUUAUCCGUGACAUAUACAUGUGACAAUCCUAUAUGAUAUCCGACUGUAUCACUAUUAUUUUUCAUGAUUUGGCGUUAGAUAAGGGCAUAGCCUGCUACACUAGCUUUUUAGGGAAUGGCCAACACUACAUGCUCGACCUCUGCCCCAGCUAUCACAUCGGCUCAAUCAGUACAUCUCAAAUAAAAGGUGUUGUCUACAUAGGCUAACAGGAUCUUGCGGAGGAGCUCGGUUCUUCACCGACAAAAGUGUUUAAAUGGUAGUGGUUGAGGCACUGCAUGCUAAUAUGUUUUUUUAUUGGGAGAGAUCAUGAAGAAAAGGGAAUGAACUAGUAACGAGAGACUAAGAAAGGGACCACUACUACCAUUGAGUAACGGUUUGUUUGGAUAGCAGCUUCAAAACAAAUGUAUCUGUGGAAUGCACUAGGCAAGGUGCUGGCCCCAUAGGUCAUGUCCGGGCAUCUCCAAUAGCAGCCUUAUUUCUGGGCACAAAACAGGGUGUUAUAAAGAAAAAUGGGCAUGAUAACACGUUUUUGGCACAACAAGGCGCCGUCUUCAACAGCUGCCCUAAAAUAGGGCACAACUGCUCCAAUAGCUUCCUUAAAAUAGGGCACCACGCCACAAAUUUGUUCUCCACAAUUGCAUAUGUAUUAAACAAAAUAUGAACUUUGAAGAGAAUUUAACUUUGCAAGAUCACUGCACACUGCUACCUCUUGAGCACUGCGUUGGUUUUCCCUUGAAGAGGAAAGGGUGAUGCAGCAAAGUAGCGUAAGUAUUUCCCUCAAUUUUUGAGAACCAAGGUAUCAAUCCGGUAGGAGGCCACGCACGAGUCCCUCGCACCUACACAAACAAAUAAAUCCUCGCAACCAACGCGAUAAGGGGUUGUCAAUCCCUACAGGUCACUUACGAGAGUGAGAUCUGAUAGAUAUGAUAAGAUAAUAUUUUUGGUAUUUUUGUGAUAAAGAUGCAAAAGAAAAUAAAAGGCAACGGAAAUAGCUAAGUGUUGGAAGAUUAAUAUGAUGGAAAAUAGACCCGGGGCCAUAGGUUUCACUAGUGGCUUCUCUCGAGAGCAUAAGUAUUUUACGGUGGGUGAACAAAUUACUGUUGAGCAAUUGACAGAAUUGAGCAUAGUUAUGAGAAUAUCUAGGUAUGAUCAUGUAUAUAGGCAUCACGUCCGAGACAAGUAGACCGACUCCUGCCUGCAUCUACUACUAUUACUCCACACAUCGACCGCUAUCCAUCAUGCAUCUAGAGUAUUAAGUUCAUAAGAACAGAGUAACGCUUUAAGAAAGAUGACAUGAUGUAGAGGGAUAAACUCAUGCAAUAUGAUAUAAACCCCAUCUUGUUAUCCUCGAUGGCAACAAUACAAUACGUGCCUUGCUGCCCCUACUGUCACUGGGAAAGGACACUGCAAGAUUGAACCCAAAGUUAAGCACUUCUCCCAUUGCAAGAAAGAUCAAUCUAGUAGGCCAAACCAAACUGAUAAUUCGAAGAGACUUGCAAAGAUAACCAAUCAUACAUAAAAGAAUUCAGAAGAUUCAAAUAUUGUUCAUAGAUAAACUUGAUCAUAAACCCACAAUUCAUCGGUCUCAACAAACACACCGCAAAGGAAGAUUACAUCGAAUAGAUCUCCACAAGAGAGGGGGAGAACAUUGUAUUGAGAUCCAAAAAGAGAGAGGAAGCCAUCUAGCUAAUAACUAUGGACCCGAAGGUCUGAGGUAAACUACUCACACAUCAUCGCAGAGGCUAUGGUGUUGAUGUAGAAGCCCUCCGUGAUCGAUGCCCCCUCCGGCGGAGCUCCGGAACAGGCCCCAAGAUGGGAUCUCACGGGUACAGAAGGUUGCGGCGGUGGAAUUAGGUUUUUGGCUCCGUAUCUGGUAGUUUGGGGGUACGUAGGUAUAUAUAUAGGAGGAAGGAGUACGUUGGUGGAGCAACGUGGGGACCACGAGGGUGGAGGGCGCGCCCAGGGGGGUAGGCGCGCCCCCCUACCUUGUGGCUUCCUGGUAGCUUUCUUGACAUAGGAUCCAAGUCCUCUAGAUCAUGUUCAUUCCGAAAAUCACGUUCCCGAAGGUUUCAUUCCGUUUGGACUCCGUUUGAUAUUCUUUUUCUGCGAAACUCUGAAAUAGGCAAAAAAAACAGCAAUUCUGGGCUGGGCCUCCGGUUAAUAGGUUAGUCCCAAAAAUAAUAUAAAAGUGUAUAAUAAAGCCCAAUAAUGUGCAAAACAGAAGAUAAUAUAGCAUGGAGCAAUCAAAAAUUAUAGAUAUGUUGGAGACGUAUCACACACGUAAUCAAAAACAUAUUGAAUUGAACUACAAAUCCAUCCAUCAUUUUUUUCGCCCUUCUUCUCGUUCAAUACACAUCUAAAUAAAACAUGACAUUCAUAAUUAGGUUGAAUCAAGGUAUUUGUGACAUACAUAAUUAUAUGAUUCGACAAAAUAAUACCAUAUUACAUUUAGUAACUAAUCAAACUAUAAAAUAAAGGGUUUAGGGUUUGUGGCACACCUCCAACGUGGGGUGGCCUUUGUAUUAUAUAGGGAGUACAUCAUCGUGUACAAAUACAAUUACAACUAUAAUACAUGUAGCCCCAGUAUAUACAGAGUCUAACACCCUCCCUCAAUCUCAACCGUGCUCAGAAGAAUUUACUAGGUUGAGAUUGCGCCUACAGCCUUCAAACUGAGGAAGAGGCAUUGGCUGGGUGAAGAUGUCAGCAAGUUGAUCCUUUGAAGGGAUGAACUUGAUAAGAAGCAGCUUCUGGGCAACACGUUCUCUGACAAAGUGGUAAUCAACUUCGAUGUGUUUUUUCGGGCAUGGAAUACUGGAUUCGAAGACAGAUACGUAGCACCGAUGUUAUCACACCAAAGAACAGGAGGUUGCUCCUGAGAGAUCCUCAACUCUCGAAGCAAGGACUGUAUCCAAAUCAGCUCAGCUGUGGCAUUUGCAACUGCUUUGUACUCAGCCUCAGUGCUACUGCGGGACACUGUUGCUUGUUUACGAGCACUCCAGGCGAUCAAGUUAGCACCAAGGAACACUGCAUAGCCCCCCGUUGAUCGCCUGUCAUCCGGAUUCCCAACCCAGUCUGCAUCAAAGAACGCGGAAAGAGCUCCAGAGGUCGCCGGUUGCAGGUGCAAGCCAUAAGAAGUAGUCAACCGAAUAUAGCAUAAUAUACGCUUAACAGCAGUCCAAUGAGAAUCUCGAGGUGCAUGCAGAAAUUGACAAACACGGUUGACAGCAUAAGAGAUAUCCGGACGAGUGAUAGUCAAGUACUGCAGACCACCAACAAUACUGCGAUACUCAGUGGCCUCAUCAGCACAAAGAAGUGAACCAUCGAGAGCAGACAGUUUGUCAGUAGAAGACAUAGGUGUAGUAGCAGUCUUGCACUUGAGCAUACCAGCACGUCAAAGAACAUCAAGAGAAUACUUCUGCUGAGUCAGUGUCAAACCAGAACCAGAGUACGAGACCUCCAGACCAAGAAAAUAGUGCAGCUUCCCAAGAUCCUUAACCGCAAAAUCAGCACGCAAGGAAGAAACCAAGCGAUCCGCAGCGAACACCGAGGAGCUGACAAGAAUGAUAUCAUCAACGUAGACUAGCAGAUACAUAGUAAUUGUAGGACGCUGAAGAAGAAACAGCGAGGUGUUAGCCGUAGAUGGAACAAAACCAUGAGCCCGAAGAGUGGUGCCAAGACGUGCAUGCCAAGCACGCGGAGCCUGCUUCAGACCAUAGAGCGCCUUAACAAGGCGACACAGAUGCUGUGGACGAGCUGGAUCAACAAAGCCAGGAGGCUGACGCAUAUAGACC